rnacentral:lncRNA from 1 species
GACAGAGGACAGAACCAGUGGAGGAGGAUGUGGAGAAUAGUCGAAGAUCAGUGCAGGUUGGUGCUGGAGCUAGAUCUUCUGAAAGUCUGGAAUACAACAAGACUAUAGGAAUUCCAUUACCUCCUAGCUCUACAAAGCUAGUGGGUCAAGCAUUCAAAGAGAAUACGAAGGUGAUAUGGUCUUUGUUAAUGGAUGAGGAUGUCUUAAGUAUGGGUAUUUAUGGGAUGGGGGGAGUUGGUAAAUCCACAAUACUGCGACAUAUCCAUAAUGAGCUUCUACAAAAACCAGAUAUUUGUGAUCAUGUUUGGUGGGUGACCGUGUCUCAAGAUUUCAGCAUUAAUAAAUUGCAGAAUCUUAUUGCUGAACGUCUUCAUCUAGACCUUUCAAGAGAAGAUGAUGAACUGCAUAGAGCUGCCAAAUUGUCAGAAGAACUAACGAAGAAACAAAAAUGGAUUCUCAUUUUAGAUGAUUUGUGGAACAAUUUUGAGCUACACGAAGUGGGAAUUCCUGAAAAGUUUGAAGGAUGCAAGCUGAUUAUGACAACUCGAUCAGAAAUGAUUUGUCAUCGGAUGGCUUGCCAGCACAAAAUCAAAGUGAAGCCACUUUCUAAUGGAGAAGCUUGGUUUUUGUUCAUGGAGAAACUUGGACGUUAUGUAGAACUUUCACCAGAAGUGGAAGGAAUUGCGGAAGCUGUUGCAAGGGAAUGUGCUGGUUUGCCAUUGGGAAUUAUUACAGUGGCAGGAAGCUUGAGGGGAGUAGAUGAUCUACAUGAAUGGAGAAAUACAUUGAACAAAUUGAGAGAAUCAGAAUUUAGGGACAUGGAUGAGAAGGUAUUCAAGCUAUUGAGGUUUAGUUAUGAUCGGUUAGGUGAUUUAGCACUACAACAAUGUCUCUUGUACUGUGCAUUAUUUCCUGAAGAUCAUGGGAUUCCGAGGGAGAUGUUGAUAGGUUAUUUGAUCGAUGAGGGGAUAAUUAAAGUAAAGAGGAGCAGGAAAGAUGCAAUUGACGAGGGCCACACGAUGCUUAAUAGACUUGAAAAUGUCUGCCUAUUGGAAAGUGCUAAAAUGUAUUAUGAUGAUAGUAGAAUUGUCAAGAUGCAUGACUUGAUUAGGGACAUGGCCAUCCAAAUACUGCAAGACAACUCUCAAGUCAUGGUUAAAGCAGGUGCACAAUUAAAAGAGUUGCCAGAUGCAGAGGAAUGGACGGAGAAUCUGACGAUAGUCUCACUAAUGCAAAACGAGAUCGAAGAAAUUCCUUCCAGCCAUUCACCAAUGUGUCCAAAUCUGUCCACUCUAUUUCUAUGUGAUAAUAAAGGGUUGAGAUAUGUUGCGGAUUCAUUUUUCAAGCAAUUGCAUGGGCUCAUGGUCCUCGAUCUGUCUCGCACAGGUAUUGAAAAUUUGCCAGACUCUGUCUCUGAUUUGUUGAGUCUCACUGCAUUCUUGCUCAAUGAUUGUCGGGAGUUAAGACUUGUUCCAUCAUUAAAGAAGCUCAGGGCAUUGAAGAGGUUGGAUCUCUCUUGGACUAUGCUUGGAAAGAUGCCGCAAGGAAUGGAAUGCCUAACCAACCUGAGGUAUCUUAGAAUGAAUGGAUGUGGUCAAAAGGAGUUUCCUAGUGGGAUAUUACCAAAACUCUCUCACCUGCAAGUCUUUGAACUAGAACGGUUUCCGGUGCUUCCAAUAACAGUUAAAGGAAAGGAAGUAGGAUCCUUGAGAGUCUUUGAACUAGAACGGUUUACGGCGCUUCCAAUAACAGUUAAAGGAAAGGAAGUAGGAUCCUUGAGAAAUUUGGAAAGUUUGGAAUGCCAUUUUGAAGGUUUCUCUGACUUCGUGGAUUAUCUCAGAUCUCGGGAUGGGAUCCUAUCAUUAAGCACAUACAAAAUUUUAGUAGGAGAGGUGUUUAGCUAUUCAGAGCAAUGCAUUGAAGAUUUUCCAAGUAAAACAGUUGGGUUGGGUAAUUUGAGUAUCAAUGGAGAUAGAGAUUUUCAGGUCAAGUUCUUAAAUGGCAUUCAUGGACUGGUUUGUCAAUGCAUCGAUGCAAGAAGUUUAUGUGAUGUUUUGUCAUUAGAGAAUGCAACUGAACUGGAGCGCAUCAGCAUUCGGGAAUGCCAUAACAUGGAGAGCUUGGUUUCAUCUUCUUGGUUCUGCUCUGCUCCACCACGAUUGCCACCAUAUAAUGGUAUGUUUUCUGGUCUUAAAGUGUUUUUUUGUUAUAGCUGUAAAAGUAUGAAGAAGCUGUUCCCACUUGUGCUGCUGCCAAACCUCGUAAACCUGGAAAGGAUUUAAGUGAAGCACUGGUGGAUUACUCGUGUUGGGAAAACAUUGAUGAUUUUCCAAGUAAAACAGUUGGGUUGGGUAAUUUGAGUAUCAACGGAGAUGGAGAUUUUCAGGUCAAGUUCUUAAAUGGCAUUCAAGGAUUGGUUUGUGAAUUCAUCGAUGCAAGAAGUUUAUGUGAUGUUUUGUCAUUAGAGAAUGCAACUGAACUUGAGUUCAUCGACAUUAGGCGUUGCCAUAACAUGGAGAGCUUGGUUUCAUCUUCUUGGUUCUGCUAUGCUCCACCACGAUUGCCAUCAUAUAAUGGUGCGUUUUCUGGUCUUAAAGUGUUUUGUUGUGAUGGAUGUAACAAUAUGAAGAAGCUGUUCCCACUUGUGCUGCUGCCAAACUUCGUAAACCUGGAAAGGAUUGUUGUUACUGAAUGUGAGAAAAUGGAGGAGAUAAUAGGAACAACAGAUGAAGAAAGCAGCACCUCCAAUUCCAUCACGGAAGUCAUUCUCCCAAAGUUAAGAUCUCUGAGAUUGUAUGAAUUACCAGAACUGAAAAGCAUUUGCAGUGCAAAGCUGACUUGCAAUUCUCUUAAAGAUAUUAUUGUAAUGUAUUGUGAGAAGCUGAAGAGGAUUCCAAUUUGUCUUCCGUUGCUUGAAAAUGGCCAGCCAUCUCCUCCCCCUUCUCUUAAAGAAAUCCAUGCAAGGCCAAAAGAAUGGUGGGAGACAGUAGUGGAGUGGGAGCAUCCUAACGCAAAGGAUGUCCUUCGUCCCUUUGUAAAGUAAUAUAAUAUAGUAUGCUUACAAUUACAUAAAUAACAUUUUUCAUUUUUUUUUAUUUCAUUAAAGACUACUGAAUUGUCAUAAUUUUUUUUUAACUCAAAUGAUAAAUAAUUAUAAUUUGAAGUUUGAUUAAUAUUUGUUUUUCAUCCUAUUGAGUUAUUAAACGAAAUAAGGAUAAUUAAAAUACCAAAGGUGUGCAAGGAUUCCCGACGCUCUACUGUUCGUAGAAUUCCAGUACUUUCUCCAUUAGUCACUCUGCUAUGUUUUAAUUUGCAUUUAAAAUUAAAUUUUAUUCUCUAUUAAAUCAUCUAAUAUUUUCUUCUGUUCUUUUAAUUUGUCCCCAUGUAGAAUCAAUGCUGUGAUGCCAUCACCGCAUUAUUCUUUGGAUGUAAUUAGUCAUUUAUUAUUGGUUAUUUUUUGGAUUCACUUAAAAAAACAAACACAAAAAAUAAUAAGAAUAUUUUUACCUUGGAUUUUUCUUCUUCUAGUUUAUCUCUCUAUUUCUUUAAAAUAAUAAUUAAUAAAAUGACAUUAAUUAAUUUAUAAGCACUACCUUAAUAUGUUUGAAUAUAUUUUUAAAAAUUAUUUAUAUUUAAAAUUGUGUUUGAUAUAUUUUUAAAAAUAAUUUAUCUUGAAAAAAUAUUUUUUAAUAUACUAAUAUUAAAAAUAAAAAAAAUAAUUUCAUUAAUGGAAUCUCCAAGCAACUUAAAUCCAUGCAUUAUGAAGAGGAAAAAAAAGGAAGAGAUAUCUACUACCUUAAUAUGCUAUUCUUUCUCAUAUCCACGUGUUUACAUUUUACAGGCAGCUUCUUCAAAGUUUCAACAUUAGGGGGGUCCACACGUUAACUUCCCAUAUCUUAUAAUAUAAUGUUUGGUAGGUAAGCGGCGGGUUCCUUCUUAGCAACUUCCUUCCUUGCUAUCAAACUUAUGUGAUUUUUCUAAUAUAUAUUUUUUUUGAUUUUUUGAUUUUUUUUAUUUUGUACUUUAAUAUUAGAUUGUUUUGGAAAUAAACUAUAUAAUUUAUUUUUAUUUAUUUUUUAUAGAAUUAUUAUAAUCUUAAAUAAAUAUUUAUUUUAAAUAAGCAUUUAUUUUUAUCAUAUAAUUAAAUAAAAAAUAUUAAAAUCAGUCUAUGUUAACUUUUGAAACUCGUGAUAAUAGCAAAAUUAACCACAUAGAAGGCAAAUUCAAUAAAAAAAACAAAAAUCUGACAUUUUUUCCCUAUUGUUACAUAAUCAGAUUCCAAUCCUAUGACAUAUUAUUGGGUUGGAUAGAUCAACCCAUGCCGACAUAGAUCAAUUUAAUAUAGUGUUGUUUUAAGAAUUUUGAAUUAUUUGAAAAACAAUUUGGCAUGUUUGGGAACCCAUUCUCCUAAAGGAUUGUUUGGCAAAGCGUACACUUGCAUAAAGGGAUGGUUAAGGCUCUCUUGAAAAUUAACAGGUCUCUAAAAAGUAACGAAAUUAGGAUGUCUUUGAUUCGGGCGUGUUUGGGAAUGCCAUGUUUACUUAAACUUUGAAUUUCUUUUUUAUUAUUUUUUUUUAUAUUUUUAGAUCUUUUUUAUGUGCUGAUAUCAAAAAUAAUUAUUUUAAAAUAAAAAAAUAUUAUUUUCCUGCAUUUCUAAGCGAAAAACACUUUGAACCGCAAUCAUUACCACAAUCUCAAACAAGCGGUUUGCGGUUGAAAGUGUUUUUCCCUUACAAAUGCAUCAAAAUAAUAUUUUUUAAAAAAAUUAUUUUUGAUAUCAGCACAUCAAAACGAUUUCAAAACAUAAAAAAAAUUAAUUUUAAGUAAAAAAAAUUUUAAUUUUGAGGGAACACGAUUUGCACGACGUUCCCAAACACGCUCUAAAUUAAAGUCGGAUUUUGCUCCACCGGUCUUCAACUCUGAAUAUUAAAAUUUAUUAUUCACUUGUGUCUUUGAUUUUGCCGAAUCGAGUUAAGCACACAUGACCCGAUCUUUUUUAAUCAAUUUUACAAAAAUCAAAAACUUAAAAAAUAGAAUUAGAAAUAAAAUUCCAAUAGAGUAUCAGUUUUAGCACGAAAACUAUUGUUAAAAUAUUUUUACUGUUAAGAAUUUAUGCAAAACAUUUAGAAAACUAAUUCAGGGAUCAAAUAUUUUUAUGAAAUUGACUACAAACUUAAAAUUCUUGAAUAUACAAUAUAAACUUCUUGAAUCAUAAGAUAAAAACUCAUAUUAAAUUAUAAUUUUAUAAUAAAUAUGAAUUCUUGGAUCACAUAAGCUUGAGACAUGGAUAAUGUUUGGAGCAUUUAAGACUGGACCUCCUUGACUUAAAUUUUAUUUUAUAUUUACAACAAGGGAAAAGGCACCAUGGGGUUGAAACCUUUUUAUGCUCGGCUGCUGGCAUUUGGGACCAGGUUCUGGGGACAAGCCACUUAAUGCCAAAAACUAGCUUGGUAGCCAAUAGUCAGUGUGUUUAGUUAUACUAACCACGUUUUGUAUAUAUUAAUUAGAUAAAUUUAGAAUUAUUUAUGUCAAUAAAUAUAUAAAAAAUGUUAAUGAGUCGAAUUAAUAAAUUUAGAAUGAUCUGUUGCACUAAAUCAAGAAGUUUAUUAGACUUAUUACUCUGUAAAUUUGCUUUCUGAGUGCUGAGCAUAUUGUGAUUGGGGAGAUUUGAUCCUCGUAUAAUUGUUGCUAGCUUAUUUGUGAGCCAUUUUUUUUCCCUUUCAGACAUGAACAGCACCUGGAGUUCUUGGGGCCAAAAUUAGAUUUUUGGCUAGAAAGAGUCUGUUUGAUCUCUUAAAUGGUACGAGCCACCAACCCUGAUGACUUGUGAGCUUCAAAUACGAACCAGGGUUAUUAUUCUAUCUUCUUCUUUUUUAAUCAUUAAUUAUGGUACAAUCCAAUUUUAUUUUAAUUUUUUUAUUGUUAUUUUAUAGUUUUUUUUUAUUUACUUGAUUUUUCAAUUAUGUCUCUUGUUUUUUUAUUUUAUUUAAUUUAAUCCUCAUUUUUUGAUUGAUUUUUUGAUUUAAUCCCUCAUUAUUUUUUUUCAUUUAGUUUUUAUACUAGAUUUGAUCUUUAAUAUUUUGAUUGCUAUUUGAUUUAUUUUUUUUUUAAAAAAAUUAGAUGAUUAGAAAUUUAGCUUCAUAAUUUUUUUUUGUUUGUCUUCUAUGAGGCGAUCUUGGUCUCAUAACCCGAGUCACGAGUUUCAAAGAUUAGUUUGAUUUACCUUUAGUUUUUUUAGGUCAUUAAAAAAAAAGAUUUUUUUUCAAUAUCCUUCAAUGUUGGGUUAUUGGGCCUUGAGUUUCAUGAUUUUCUUUGCUUUUCUUUUUAUAAGGUUAUUCCGGUAUCAUAUCCUAGGUCACGAGCUAGUCAAGUUAACCUACAUUGACACUUGUUUUUUUUUUUUUCUAGUUUUACCUUUUAUCAUUUAGUUUGCUUGAGAGUUAAACUCCAUUGUUUUAUUCGAUUCUUAUAUGCAGGCUUAUCCCGAUCAUGAUUUGGUGUCCUAACUCGAGUCGUGUUUUUUAUUCUUUUUUGAAAUUGAUGUUUUUUUCCGGUUUAUUUUUCAACCUUUGUUUUGCUGGUAAUUGAGCGUCAUAUUUCUUUUAUUUUUCUUUUCAUGAGGUAAUCUUAUUUUCAUUGAAUUUUUAUGUUGUAAUAAAAUAAGAUAGUUAAGAUCUUUUUAAAAAAAAUUAGAUGGUAUCUUUUAUAAUAUUAACAAGCGUUUAUUUUUUCUAAUUAAUCAUUGUUGUUUUUUAUCAUUUGUUUAUAUAUAUAUAUAUAUAUUAAUCAAAUUUAUUAAAUCCAUUCGAAUCAAUAACCUAAAUUUCAAAUUUUUAUUGUUGCUUUUAAAAAGCUAUUAUUAUUAGGAUAUCUUUUUAUAUUAAAAAAAUAAUAAUUCAAAAAACAGUGUAGCACUACAUAGGCACCCACCACUUUAGCAAAUUGGAUAUCCCACUUGCUUCAUUGGUUUGGAUAAGGGCUAGCUUCGUACAAGCCCCCAACUUAUAACCAAUUCAUGAUUGGGUCCUUAUUGUUUUCUUUAGUGACGUCUUUAAUGCAUAAAACAUUCUUAGUUUUGCCUUGUAUUCAAAUCCGUCGAUGAUUUCUAUUUAAAAGCUGUUUUUGUUUUUUUUUUUUUAAAAAGAAAAAAGAAAAGAGAGAACUGGACAUCUUUUAAAAGUUUGUAACAAUCUUACAUGAAAGGACUAAAUUGAGGAUUGUCAUAGAAUGAUGUAUUUAUUAAUUUAAGAGCUUUACCCACUAGUUGAGGAUGACACAAAUUGCCACUGAUGUAUCCCACGGCAUAUGUACCAAUGCAAUGCCUAUGAAAACACGACUUGCUUACACAAGCAACAAACACCACAUAAAUUUCUCUCUGGCCAUUUAAUAUUCUUGGACUUUUGGCUAAAGAAAAAACAAACAAAAACACGUAAAUUUCUCUCUUGGCCACUCGAUUCUUGGACUUUUGGCUUAUUCAUCAACACCAGUUCAAUGGUCCCAUUAAUUCAAUAACCACUGAAAUUUCUAAGGAAUGCUCAAUAUUCUCUCUCUAUAAUCUCAUCCAAAGCCUUCGUGAAAGACACAACGGGGAGACUUUAAUCAUCAAAAAGCUAAGUCUACGUAUAAUUUUCCACUGCAAUAUAAACCAGCAACUUAUUGGACAUUUCUUGAUUCCUUGCAGUCAAUCUGGGAAGCCUUUCGGCUCUCUUUUACACGUUAAAAUUUAGUGGGAGGAUCUCGUAGAGACUGGAAAUGUCUUGGCACGGAUUUGGACUAACACGAAUCACUAGCACAUGUACAUUUCAUGGCCUAGCUAAAACUUGUCAUCAAAGUCACUAUUAUCUCGAGAAGUAGUAGAAUUUCCUAGGCUUCACGCUGCUACCUUUUGAUUUGGUAAAAUUUUGUUCAAUUUAAUUCAUUAAAAAUAAUUGAAACUUCCAAGAUCUUUCCUUGUUAUUUUUAAACUAUAUAUUCUACUCUGUUCUUGUCUUUUUUGCUGAAUACUGCUUAAGCAAACCAGCACUAGAAGAACAACUUGAAUCCAGGUAGAUUAUUUAUACUCCAUCUUCUUCAUUUUGUUUUUCACAUGUAACUCUGGUUUGAAUCUUUCAAGGAAGUCACAAGUUGUAGAAAUUCUAAUGAGAAACUUUGGAGUUAGGAUCAUCAACAGUUUCCAAAAAUAAAAAUAAUUUGAUCUUUCUCAGUUUUAACAAUCCAUGCCUUAUGGAGUUCAUACUAAUUAAAUUGACCCUAAGUUAACCUUGAAUUCAUUGUUUUUUCUUCUUAAUUUCUUUGCUGUUUGUAACUUAUUAUUUUAGUUUCACCAUCCUUUUCCAAUUAAUGUACUUCCAUUAAUUUUUAUUCAAUAUUUUGACCCUUUUUAUCUAUAGGACAAAUUAAAUGGGUAGAUCAGAUGAUCCGUUUUGGAAGGAAGUUGAAGAUAUGAAUGAUGGAAGCAUGAAGUGUAAGUUUUGUGGGCAUUUAUUUGCCAAUGGUACUUCCAUUUCGAGGAUCAAAUGGCAUUUAUCAGGAGAGAGAGGGCAUGGUGUUGGCAUUUGUGGUCAGGUGCCUAAAGAAGUUCAAGAAGUAGCCUUUCUAGCUAUGCAUGUUGGCAACAAAAGACAUAAAAGCAUAGCAAGUUCAAGCAAUGUUAAUGAUUAUGCCAUUUCCACCUGUCCACAAGAACAAGACAAUGCAGUACUUGGUAAUUUGGCACAAGGUGUUGGGCCUGAGAGAAUUCAUUCGCGUGUAGAAGCGGCAAAUGGCAUGGAAUACACUGGUGAAGGAUCUUUUCAGCAUGUUGACAGAAGUGUCUCUCCUUGGGGACUCAGAGUUGAUGCUCAUGAGAAUAGAAGAGAAGCAACACAAAGAACAGAUUUAGUGGAUCAAUUUGCUGAUGGUACUUGGGUUCAGAUACACUCUGCCCUUUCAAAGGCGCAGAAGCUGAAUGAAAUCUCUACCUAUUUAAUGCAGGAAGAUGAGGAUGUGGAGCGUCUGCAUGAUGCAUUUGAAACUGUACCGAGAACAGAACAAGUGCAGCAUCUGGAGAGAGGUAGCUCUUGUGAGAGGCCAUCAAUUAAUCAAGCUGAUGAGCCUCGAGGAGAUUCAUCACAACCAACAGAUUCAUUGUGUCUUGAUCAUGGCAGAUAUUAUGAUCAACUAUUUACUCCGUCAAUAAACAAUGAUGUCAUUAUGAAUGAUGUGCAGAACAUGGUUAGAGUGAGGACAGAACCAUUGGAGGAGGAGGAUGUGGAGAAUAGUGGAAGUUCAGUAGUGCAGGCUGGCGCGGGAGCUAGAUCUUCUGAAAGUCUGAAAUACAACAAGACUAGAGGAGUUCCAUUACCUACUAUCUCUACAAAGCCAGUGGGUCAAGCAUUUGAAGAGAAUAUGAAGGUGAUAUGGUCUUUGUUAAUGGGUGAUAAAGUCCCAAUCAUUGGCAUUUAUGGGACGGGGGGAGUUGGUAAAACGACAAUACUGCAACAUAUCCAUAAUGAGCUUCUACAAAAAUCAAAUAUUUGUAAUCAUGUUUUGUGGGUGACUGUGUCUCAAGAUUUCAACAUUAAUAGAUUGCAGAAUCUUAUUGCUAAACGUCUCUAUUUAGAUCUUUCAAGUGAAGAUGAUGAUCUGCAUAGAGCUGCCAAAUUGUCAGAAGAACUAAAGAAGAAAUAAAAAUGGAUUCUCAUUUUAGAUGAUUUGUGGAACAAUUUUGAGCUACACAAAGUGGGAAUUCCUAUGGUGUUGAAAGGAUGCAAGCUGAUUUUGACAACUCGAUCAGAAACAAUUUGUCAUCGGAUUGCUUGCCAACACAAAAUCAAAGUGAAGCCACUUUCUGAGGGUGAAGCUUGGAAUUUGUUCGUGGAGAAACUUGGACGUGACAUAGCACUUUCACCAGAAGUAGAAGGAAUUGCGAAAGCUGUUGCAAGGGAAUGUGCUGGUUUACCAUUGGGAAUUAUUGUUGUGGCAGGAAGCUUGAGGGGAGUGGAUGACCUAUAUGAGUGGAGAAAUACACUGAACAAAUUGAGAGAAUCAGAAUUUAGGGACAAUGAAGUAUUCAAGUUAUUAAGGUUUAGUUAUGAUAGGUUAGGUGAUUUAGCACAACAACAAAUGUCUCUUGUACUGUGCAUUAUUUGCCGAAGAUAGUGAGAUUGAAAGGGAGGAGUUGAUAGGUUAUUUGAUCGACGAGGGAAUUAUUAAAGGAAUAAGGAGCAGGAAAGAUGCAUUUGACGAGGGCCAGACGAUGCUUAAUAGACUUGAAAAUGUCUGCCUGAUGGAAAGUGUUAAAAUGGAGUAUGAUGGUAGUAGAAGUGUCAAGAUGCAUGACUUGAUUAGGAACAUGGCCAUCCAUAUACUGCAAGAGAACCUUCAAUACAUGGUUAAAGCAGGUGCACAAUUAAAAGAGUUGCCAGAUGUGUUGGGGAAUUCCGGCACCCCCAUGCGCGGACCGGGGGUGUACUGAUAGUUGCUCAUCGGAGGGUAAAGCACACUGACACAAUAUUUUACGUGGUUCGGCAAAACCGCCUACAUCCACGGGAGAGGUUCAUUUUAUUAGAUAUAGAGAUACAUGGAAGAAGAUUACAUCUGCUGCAAUGGCAGCAAGGCUGCUGCCAUUGCAGCUCUCUCUUUUCUCUCUAUUCUCACGUUCUCUCUCUCAACCUUCUCUUCACUCUCACUUUGCUCUCAAAUAAUUGCCUCUUUUAUAGGCAUUUCAUGGUCAACAUUGGAGGGGCCAAUAGCCUUAAAGCAUGGCAUGAAUUGUGGCACAAUUCAUGCUUCCACUUGCUUAGUGGUGGGGUAUUGCCACAAAUGGCAAUAUCCUAACAAUCACCCCCUUUUGCCAUUUGUGUGGGCAAUUGUCCUUUUGCUUCUUCAGCACAAGCUUGCAUUCUGCAGCUCUUCCAAGCUUCCAUUCUGAGAGCGUCUUCAACACAACAUUCCUCUUCGAGCGUAUCAAUCAUGCUCGGUCCGGAAUGAUUUUUCAAGCCUUACACCAAGGCUUACAACACCCCCUCAAACGAAUAUUCCCAAGUGCGACGGUCAUUGAGUAUUUUAAUGUGAUCACAAGCUCACCACUCUUCCAAGAGUCUACUCAUCCAGGAGUUGCGUCUGCCCUCUGUUCCACCCUAGGAACCACGCCUUACUUCUCCGUGAGUCUCUCGCUCUUAGUCGUAAGAGUCCAGGUAGCUCUCCACCUUUAACCAUGGGGGCAGCCCAUUAAAGGUUGAUCCAUAUCUGUCUUCAUACUCUGAGUAUUACAAUGCCAUUACCGAGCUCACCACCUUGACAAAAGUCAACUCGUUCUCGGAACCUGCGCAUGCCCUUCUGCUUCUUCAUAGCAGCCGCGUCUUAAUGCUCCACAAGUCACACACUUAUUGUCCAAGGCAAAUGUCUUCUAGCUCAUUGAUCUUUAGCAUGGGGGCAAUAUCCAUGAAAGUCAAUCCUGCAUUUGUCUCCAUACUCAUCAUAGCCACUUCAUUGGCUAUCCAUACACCUGUCCACUCAUAUCUAGCCAUUACAUUGGCUUUGGGGUUGUUCUGAACUGGGCUCAUAUCGUGGCCCACACACCUUCUCCUUAGGUGUCUCCGCUCGUCACCAUGCGGCGGUCUGAACUGGGGCUUCUAUCACGGCCCUCACACUUUCUCUAAGGUGUCUUCGCCCGUUGUCAUGGGGCGGUCUGAUCUUGGGCUCAUAUCACGGCCCACACACCUUCUCUAAGGUGUCUUCGCCCGUUGUCAUGGGGCGGUCUGAUCCGGGGCUCCUAGCACGACCCACAUACACACCUUCCAUCUAAGGUGUCUUCACCUUUCAUAAGUGGUCGCAUCCUCCUUCAGCUGAGAUGCUUCAAAGUGGCUCCAAAAGUCUCUACCACCAUGUGCACUAUGGGAGAUCAUUGCCACUGAUUACAUAGAAAGAGAAACUUGCAGUAUACUCCUCGCAAUCCUCCACCUCGAUUUCUAUGUUUGGAGCUUCUGUGCCUUUCUGCUUGACAGCUCCACCUACACCAACUCUCUUUGGUGUCUUCGCCUUUCAUCAUAGGCGGUUGCCUUGUAUCACAGGCAUUUGCACCCCCUCAAUUAGGUGCCUCUGCAACAGCUCUCUUUCCAUCAUUGCAUGCAUUGGAAAGGUCUUCGCCUGUUGUCUUCAUUAAGAGCACAAGAGACUUCCUGUUGUACAAACUUUAACAGUCUCUGCUCUGAGCUUCAUCUGGGAACUCUUCUUCUCCUUGCACCUGUUGUCUCAUUACAGUACCUAGUUGGAUCUUAAGGGUACUCAUGCACAAUCUCCAUGUGCCCUCGUGCAAUUUCUGUUCUCCAGAUUUUUCCCCUAUUCCUUGCUUAUGUUUGACAGCAGCUCAUCCUGUCAGAACACCUAUCCAAGUCAAAAUAGGGUGCCAAUCUUUAUCCCUUGCCAUAUUUCUCUACCAUUAUCAGGGUCUUCAUCAAUUCUCCCCUCGAGAAAUCACAGUCACCGAAUCUAACUUCUUUGGAGAAAUCACCACUUCAUCAGAUCCUUGAUCAUACGGAACCCAACUGUUCCCUUGUGCCGUCAUCCUGCUAGUCUUCAACUGUUUCAUUACAAACUGCUAUAUAUACGAAAAUAGUACCGUAUGGAUAAUCCUUCCACUAAGCAAGUUCCUAGGAAAGAUUGGAGGGGUCACACUGGUCCCGCUUAAAACCCAAUCUCCUAGACAGAACUUCAUAGGCCAUAUCUAUCCAUCGUACUGUCUUUCCGUAUAUACAACCAUUUGCUAGCUUUGUCCCGGCCUUCCUUUACAAGUGAUCUGGAAUAUACUGGUUUAAUACAUGAUUUCUCAACAUCUGGCGAGACUACCAGUUCUUAGAUUCGUCAAGAUUGGUCUUCGUCAAUUUCCACUCUUCACCUCAAAUUGUCCACAUGAUCGGGUGUCCAGAGUGUCCCAAUUUUGCCUUCCUUCAAGGCAGCUAAAAUUCUACCCACUUAGCAGUUCGACACAUGUAAUUGGGUAAACAUGUGCACCUUCUUCUUCUUCAUCGCCAUCGACCACGUUGAUGACCUUCAGAUGCCUCCUAAUCGGGCAAUCUCUUUUCGCUAAUUCACCACUGCCAUUUUCGGUCUCAAAUUUCAACGAUCGGACCAUACCAGUGCAUCCGGAACGAUCAAAUUAGCUGAANNNNNNNNNNNNNNNNNNNNNNNNNNNNNNNNNNNNNNNNNNNNNNNNNNNNNNNNNNNNNNNNNNNNNNNNNNNNNNNNNNNNNNNNNNNNNNNNNNNNNNNNNNNNNNNNNNNNNNNNNNNNNNNNNNNNNNNNNNNNNNNNNNNNNNNNNNNNNNNNNNNNNNNNNNNNNNNNNNNNNNNNNNNNNNNNNNNNNNNNNNNNNNNNNNNNNNNNNNNNNNNNNNNNNNNNNNNNNNNNNNNNNNNNNNNNNNNNNNNNNNNNNNNNNNNNNNNNNNNNNNNNNNNNNNNNNNNNNNNNNNNNNNNNNNNNNNNNNNNNNCUGACUGUGUAUACUGACGUCAUGAUUACGUCAUGAUGACGUCAUCCAUUAUCCGGGUCUGGCAUGUGAGGUCGGGUCGUCUGGUAUUCGGGUCGGGUCAGCCCAUCCCGGGCGAAGAAGACGCGUGUGACGCGUGGCGCGCGUCUGUGCGCGUGGGCAGUAACCUCGCCGGCGCGUGGGCAGUUUCCGACGUCCGAUUUCGACGCGGUUUUCAACAGUGGCUUCGUCUCUUCCUCCUCUACACAGUGGUAUGGUCAAAACACAAUUUGGACAACUUUCAUUUUGAGCAAAAUCAAACACCCCUUUAAACCAUGUGCUCUGAUACCAAUUGUUGGGGAAUUCCGGCACCCCCAUGCGCGGACCGGGGGUGUACUGAUAGUUGCUCAUCGGAGGGUAAAGCACACUGACACAAUAUUUUACGUGGUUCGGCAAAACCGCCUACAUCCACGGGAGAGGUUCAUUUUAUUAGAUAUAGAGAUACAUGGAAGAAGAUUACAUCUGCUGCCAUUGCAGCUCUCUCUUUUCUCUCUAUUCUCACGUUCUCUCUCUCAACCUUCUCUUCACUCUCACUUUGCUCUCAAAUAAUUGCCUCUUUUAUAGGCAUUUCAUGGUCAACAUUGGAGGGGCCAAUAGCCUUAAAGCAUGGCAUGAAUUGUGGCACAAUUCAUGCUUCCACUUGCUUAGUGGUGGGGUAUUGCCACAAAUGGCAAUAUCCUAACAAGAUGCAGAGGAGUGGAUGGAGAAUCUGACGAUAGUUUCACUAAUGCAAAACGAGAUCAAAGAAAUUCCUUCCAGCCAUUCACCAAUGUGUCCAAAUUUGUCAUCUCUAUUUCUACGUGAUAAUGAAGGGUUGCGAUCUAUUGCGGAUUCAUUUUUCAAGCAAUUGCAUGGGCUCAAGGUCCUCGAUCUAUCUUGCACAGGUAUUAAAAAUUUGCCAGAGUCUGUUUCUGAUUUGAUGAGUCUCACUGCAUUAUUGCUCAAUGGUUAAUUUCGCAAGUGCACGCAUCGUAACAAGUAAUAAAGUGAUGAGUAGAGUAUCGUCCCACGAGGAUUUGUAAAAAUUACUACUAAUUACCAAAGUCUUUUAAAUUAUGAUCUAUUUGAGGAAUCAAAUGAGAUAGUUUAUGAAAUAGAAAUAAAUGAUAAAAAAACAAACAAACAAAUGAUUAAAUAUUAAUGAAUUCAAUUGUACUGGUUCUAGGAUUUAUGACUUACCGUAACUAUACCUAUUUGAACUUUCUCGAUUAAAUUAAUUACUUCUAAUGUUGAUAAUCAGGUUUUUCUAAUGUAAAUAUUAAUCUCUCUCGAGCAUCAAUAAAUUAUUUCGACAAACAAAUUUCAUAUACUCUACGAAAGUUCUGAACUUGUCAAAAUUAAUUAAAUACUGUAAAACCUGUAACGAUUACAAAAGUUCCUAGGAUAUCUCUAUCCUAUAGAUUUCUUAAGGUAUUUCAAACAAUAGCUAAAACAAUUAUCACUUCUCAGUUUCAAAUUGAAUUCUAAAUCAUGCAGAUGUUGGCCAAACACACGCAAGCAUUACACAUAGAAUGAAAUACUCAAUAUCUUAAUGUAAUAAUUCAAUCGAAGAAAUUGUUCACAUAUUCAUAGUAAGGUUACAUCAAAAAUCCCAGAAUAAAAGUCUACUCCAUAGUUAAAUUAAAGAGAAACAAACUUGAUACGAUGAACAUCACUCAAAAGCAGAGAAUUUCAGUGGAAGAGAUAGGUGUCCUCCUGGUCUUCAAUAUUUUUGCCUCUGUUCUUUUUGUUCCUGUUUGGUGCCGCCUCCUCUGUUUUUCUUUGCUAUGUUAUAGGGUUUCUCCCUGUCUCCCCUCUGUUUUUCUUCUUUUAUAUUGUGGAUGUUCUACCCCUGCAGUAAUGAGGAAAGUUUCCUUUUCUGCAUUGAAUUCCUUCCUACCCAGACAUUGCGGGCCAGAUUUGAGGUAGGAAAAGUGCGAAUUCAAAGAUCUCUAUUUCUGGAGAAAUUGUAGAGAAUCAAAUUUUAUUUCCAAAGACACUGAUCUUGCAAUUUUUGGACCUCUGAACGUUGAGAUAAGGGCCAUAAACCGAAACAGUCUUUGCAGUGCAGGAAUUUCGGGUUGGUUCAAUCCUUGUUUUUCAACUCGCUUUUUGGGCUUCGAAACAACAAAACUGAGUUAUAUGCCCUUCAUAUGUUUUGUAGGCCUUCAUCUCAGCUAUUUGAAAAUGGUGACAAACAUCUGGAACUAAAUUGUAUAGCUUCUUUUGCAGCACAUAAUGAAUCACUGUUCAGUUUCACUGCCGGGCUCUGCCUGUUCAGUAACCUAAUAUCUGAAAACACAUUAAUUUUUCACGAGGUCAAUAGUUCAAAAAGAGAUUCAACAUUCUAAUUUUCUUGUGCAACAUAUCCAAAAUAUUUAAAAAUCAAGCAUGAAUAGUGGAAAAUAUACAUGCUAAAAAUUCUCUUAUCAAAGAGGUUGGAUCUCUCUUGGACCAUGCUUGAAAAGAUGCCGCAAGGAAUGGAAUGUCUAUCCAACUUGAGGUAUCUUAAAAUGAAUGGAUGUGGUGAAAAGGAGUUUCCUAGUGAGAUAUUACCAAAACUCUCUCACUUGCAAGUCUUUGUACUAGAAGAGGUUUUUGAGGAAUGUUAUGCUCGGAUAACAAUUAAAGGAAAGGAAGUAGUAUCCUUGAGAAAUUUGGAAACUUUGGAAUGCCAUUUCGAAGGUCUCUUGGACUUCAUGGAGUUUCUCAGAUCUCGGGAUGGGAUCCAAUCAUUAAGCACAUACAGAAUUUCAGUGGGAAUUCUGAAAUUCUUAUAUGGCGUUGAAAAGUUUCCAAGUAAAACAGUUGCAUUGGGUAAUUUGAGUAUCAACAAAGAUAGAGAUUUUCAGGUCAAGUUCUUAAAUGGCAUUCAAGGACUGGUUUGUCAAUUCAUCGAUGCAAGAAGUUUAUGUGAUGUUUUGUCAUUAGAGAAUGCAACUGAACUGGAGGACAUCAGCAUUUCAAAUUGCAAUAGCAUGGAGAGCUUGGUUUCAUCUUCUUGGUUUUGCUCUGCUCCACCACCAUUGCCACCAUAUAAUGGUAUGUUUUCUGGUCUUAAAAAGUUUUAUUGUGGUGGAUGUAACAGUAUGAAGAUGUUGUUCCCACUUGUGUUGCUGCCAAACCUAGUAAACCUGGAAAGGAUUGAAGUGAUGCUCUGUGAGAAAAUGGAGGAGAUAAUAGGAACGACAGAUGUGUUGGGACAUUCAAGCAAUUAAACACACACAAUUUACGUGGUUCGGCAACUUGCCUACUCCACGGAGCUACUGGUUUGUAUUAAUCAAGCUUAGAAACAAUACAAACAACAAAACAAGGAGGAGGAGAAAAAAUUCUUCUCUACUCAACUCAACUCUCUCUAGCUCUCUCUCUCUCUGUGUUUCUCUCUAUUUCGUGUCUCGCCCAGCUCUCAAUAGCAUCCUCUAUUUAUAGCUGAUAUGGGAGACAAUCCUCUCCAUUUUAGUCAAUUAUAGCAGCCACUUUUGCCACCAUAUUUAAUGUUUCGGUAAACACUCUUGCAGCCAUGUUUGACAUGGCUGCCAACAACCAUUUUGUGUCCAUACAUAACAAUCUCCCACCUGGACACAAAUGGCACUAUAUCUAUCUUUUAAUCUUUGAGACCAACUGAAGCUUUACACAACUUCAGUUUAUCAAGAGUAACUCCUUUGGUUAACAAGUCAGCUGGAUCCUUGCUUCCACAUACCUUUUCUAGCAUUAGUUGCUCGUCGUCUAGCAAUUAUCGGAUGAAGUGAUAUUUGAUCUGAAUAUGCUUAGUCGUGCAGUGAAAUGCUGGAUUCUUGACAAGGAAGAUUGCACUCUGACUGUCGCUAUACAGAGUACCUUUUCCAAUAAGGAUGUCCUUGGUCCCUUUGUAAAGUUUUGGUAGGAGGAGACUACUCUUCCCUUAAUAUAAUAUAAUAUAGAAUAAAGCAUCAUCUUUCUCAAUCUCUGUUUCAACAAUUGAUUCUCUUAACUUCUUUAUGUUAAUUAACAUCUGAUUUAUUGGACUCGUUAAGCGUUUAUUAAUAGGAAAUAUUUCUUUUUUAUAUAGCGUGCUUACAAUUACAUAAAUAACAUUUUUCAUUUUUUUUAUUUGUUUCAUUGUCUUUUAAGUUAUUGAAUUGUCAUAUAUUUUUUUUUUAAUUCGAUAGAUAAAUAAUUAUAACUUGAAGUUUGAUAAAUAAUUAUAUUUUCAUCCUAUUGAGUUUCUCCAAGAUAAAAAUCCAAAAAAUAAAAUACUAUAUUGAUUUAUCAAUAAAGUAGCCUAAUAAAAUAAUAUAUCUAUUCACUAGUAUAAGUCAUCUAAAAUCAAUACAAAAAAAUAUAUUGAAAUAAUAUUUUUUAUUUAUUAAAUUUAUUUUUAACAUCAUUACAUUAAAAUAAUUCAAAAACAUAAAAAAAAAUUAAUUAAUUUUUUUUCCGAAAUGGUAAUGGGCAUUUUUCCAAUCUGGUGGGGGUGAUGUUGGUGUGCUUGGUGUUCCCUCAAAUAGCUUUCCAAAGUUUUGACAUUACAGUUAAUUGCUCCAAUUCUUUUGCACAUUACCUAUCAUCUUUUAGAUGAAAGCUAACACUCUUUUUUUGCAAUAGGAGACCUGCUGGGCAUCAGACCGUGCACCCACACUUUGUUUUUUUUUGCUGUUCUUCAUAGAGUUCCAUUGUCGGUCCUGAUUUGCCAGGAUCAGUCUCCUUCACUAGCCACAUGCACAUCCUUGCUUUUUAUUUCAUAUGGCUCAACCAUUAUUUGCAGUCAGGAUGUUUAAUCUUAGGCCCUUUACGAAUUGUUCUGGCAGCGUGCUAAUAGCCUACUCCGUAUGGUUGCUCAGUUCGAUCUCAAUGAUAGAGGUGUAUAAAAAGAAGAAAAAAGUGAAAAACAACUUAUGCCUUGUUUGUUUGCAGGAAAACAAAUUCUUGGAAUUCAUUUUCCUUAUUUUUCCAUGUUUGGUAAUAAUAUGAAAAACUAGUCAAAGAAAAAUUAAUUACAGUUAAAAUAAAAAAAGUAACUUUAUCAAAGGAAAGUGUUUUCCUUCUAAUAAGGAAAGGAAAACACUUUCCUUUCUUUCAUUACACCCAUUUUCUCAAAUCACGAUCUCUCUCUCUUUUCAAAAACAAUUGGAAGCAGGAACAAUUGAAGCAUUUCUCUGGAACAAUUGAUUUCAGGUAUUUUUUUCCUCUAUUAUUUCCUUUAUAUUUUUAUCUUCUUCGUUUAGAUCUGUAAAAAUUAUGGCAUAAAUCCUUUGAUAUUCUUGAUAAAUAUGCUACCUGUCAUAUUUUUUCCAUAACAUAGUUUUCUUCUUCAUCUUACCUCGUCACAUUCAGCUUUUCCAUGACAAUUUUCUUCUUCAUCACUCACAUUUGGCAGCUCACAUUUCUAACCAAACAAACCAAAUCAAGUGCACAGAGAGAGGCAAGGGGGGGGGGGGUAAGAUUACUGUGAAUUAAUCAAAGAAAAAUCCCCAAACUUCCCCAGUAAAAAGCAGCCCCUCCCUGAUACCUCGUCCUCGGAUCUAGCCAUCAUAUCCCGGGUGGAAGCACAAAGAGAGAGAGAGGCAAAGUAAAAGGGGGGGAAUCAGUGAAUGUGUUGAAAAUCAACCCUUGCUCUUUUUUUUUUCAAGUCCCAGCGUUAUUAGAACAAGUAGCCGGGGGAGAGAGGGAGGAGAACUGGGAAGGAGGAGUAGGUCUUUGAGGUCUAGCCCUCUUGCCCCUUGAAUCUUUGAUCUUUGUCCUGCUUCUUUGUGCACAGAGAGAGGAAGUUAAGGAAUUCUUGGCGAGAGAGAACAAAUGGUGAGAGACACCGAGAGCGAACAUGGGCAUGAGAAAAACCGAGAAACCGAGAGGGAGAAGGAAUAGGGGAAGGGGAAUGAGAGAAACCGAAAGGGAACAAGGGAAUGGGGGAAUGGGAACAGGGGGAAUGGGAGAGGGGAACCGAGAGGAAGUUUAAUAAGGGGAAUUAUAACAGAACCUAAUAAACAUAAAUUUGUGUUUUAUUUUGCUUUGAUUAAUUUAUGAUUAGUGUUUGAUUAUAUUUGUUACAUAUGGAUAAAUUUGUGGAACUAUGCUGGUAAUUAUAUGGAUUUCAUUGCGCAAUGUCUAUUGAUUGUUGUGAACUUAUGAAUUGUAUAAUUUUCAAAACGGUUUUAUCAUCGAGAAAUUGAAUUUUAUGAUCUUAAAUAGUAUAUUUUAAGAUCUUGUUUGUUUAGGGAAUCAGAUAUCAUUGCCAUAACUAUUAUACAUUGUCAGCUUCUUUCAGCAUAAUUGAUUGUAUUGAUUGUGGAAAUAUUUUAUAUGCUUUUUUUAAUAUUUAUUUCCCCAAAUUUUUAGGUUUAGCAUUUGCAAUUCAAAGCCUCAACAAAAAUCAACUUGAUGUUAAUGCGCUGUAUACAGAAGUGAUGAAAAUUGAAGGCUUUGAUGAGAUCACUCUUGGGGAUGCAUUUAAUCACUUGGUCCAAAAUGAAAUGUUGGCAAAAGCAUUUAUAGUAAAAAUGCUAAUUUGAGGAAAAAUUGGGUUCAGAAUUUUGUUAACCAACACUACUACAGGCCUGCUUGCUAAGAUGGUUUGAUUAUGUUCAAAAUUUGGGUUCAGACUAUGUUUGUUUUUUGACAAGUAUGUUUACUUGUUUAAUUCGGUCUAACAUGUUUAUGUUUGUUAAUUUUAACUAAUAUGUUUGUAUAUGACAUCGAAACUUAAUAUUUAUGCAUGACUAUGUUUGAUGUUAGAUAUUUAUAUUUAUUUCUUGAUUCUUAUUUGAUAUAUAUUAAAGGGAUAUUAAAGGGAUAAUUGCCUUUACCCAUAAAAAAAAAUUAAUCUUUAUCCAAAAAACCCAUCAAAAUAUUUUUGUAUCUAUUUAUCUUUUAAAAAAUUCUUCAUACAAAAAAAAAAAACCCAAAUAUCUAACUUUUACCAUAAACUAAUUUGGCUUUCUUCAUAUGAAAAAAAACUUAUUUUAAGCUUUUAAAAUUGAAAAAAAUAUAUUUAAUAUGUUUUACUUAAGAAAUAUUUCAUAAGGUUAUUUCUCUAUAAUAUGAUAUGAUAUAUAUAAUUAUAUUUUAUAAAAUAAGCUAUAUAUGAAUAUAGGAUAUAAUAAAAAAAUUCAUCAUUAUACUUUUUAGAUUUCAUUCUUUUAUUGUAAGUGAUUAAAUAUUUAUAUUAAAUAUUUUAUAUAUAUUAGAUAAACUUAAAAAAAAUUAAUUCAUUAAUAAAUUAUUUUCCAGUUCAUUUUGUAUAACAUAACCAAACACUAGAAAGUGUUUUCCAGUUCAUUUUUCAAAAUACUACCAAACAUCGGAAAAUAAUUCACUUUCCAGAAAUUCACUUUCUAAGAAAACCACUUUCCAAAAGGAAACCACUUUCCAGCAAACAAACGGAGCCUUAUAGGGAAUUCGAACAACAACGGCACUCCUAUAUUAUAAAAAAAAGAAAAAAAGUGAAAAAUAACUUGCUAUUAUCUUAAAAUACUGCAGGUUUUAUUAUUUGUUUCUUGUUCGGUUAGAAGAAUAACCAGGGUGGAAUUCAGCUGAUAAGAAUUGGUUCCUUCACCAUUUUCCUGUUACUCUAUAUCAUCAGUGGAUUGGACAGGAGGAGUUCUGUAGUAAGCUGUCAUGGUUACCAGGAAGAAUGUUGCUCUAAUUCCUUCUGCCUUUAGUAUAGGGAAGAUGAUGCCUGAUCCAACCUGAAAAUUGACAAAAAUAAAAAUUUAAGUUUGUCUAGGAAACUCAUGGUGAGAAUAACAGUUCAAACAAAAAAGCUUCUGAUAGUAAGAGUAAAGAAAGCUGGAGAUACAGACCAAAAUUAGUCUAGCCGCAAUACACAUGCGUUUUGGUGUAGGAAAUGGAAGCAAUAAGCGGCCAACAGCAUACGCAAGCAUGGCAAAGCAGUGGAAAACCAAUCUCAAUGGGUCAGGGUUUAGACCAGACAGAAGAGCCAUCAGUCCAUCUGAGAACACGCCUCCAAGGCUCAAAUAAUUGAAGAAUGCUUCUUUCAUCUCCUUCCUUGAUAGAUCCUGAUCCGAUGAAGAGAAUUCUGUGUGUAGGCAAAUGUGUUUCUUGCAAAUGCCGCUGGCUGCAACCAAUAAUAAGUUAAUAGUAUCUACCAACCGCAUAGAAAUAUGGUUAUGUUGUGUUUCACUCCGAGGAAGACUGGCCGAAGAAAUAUUAGCUAAGCAUAUUCAUGCAAGUGCCGAUACCAUACGCAGAAUGCAAAAGGAUUCAAGAUAUUUGCAAAUGGCAGCUCCAUCACUAAGAUCAUUCAGAAGCCUAAGAAGAUCUCGCAGUAGAACAACAUCAGAAAGUCCCAUAUAUAGUCAUUCCUCCUCCAGUUACAGCAUGGCGCAUAUUCAACGAAUCCCCUAUCAUAAACGCACCAGGGGUUGGAUAGGGAGACGCAGGCAUGAUUCUGUUUGGCAUUGUUCUAAUGUUGCCCUUAUCAAUUGCACAUAUCAAAGCAUUGUAUAGCUCAGAUAUUAUUAAAACAAAUCCGUGAUCAAGCGUGCUCUAUAGAUUAAUCAGAAUAUGCUUCAGUUCAUUUACAUUAUAGCUUCUUCUACUUUUACUUUAUUGAUUUCUCUGUUUACUUAUUAAUUGUAUUAAAAAUAUUAAUUUGUCUAUCGAAGUGCUAACGAGUAAUGCAACUCAAAGUCGUUUGAUUUACUGUGCUCUUGAAUAUUGAUAGCUCUUAUUUAAGGACUUGGAAAGAAAGCACAUCUCCUCUUGCUGAUUCGUUGCCAUGCAUGAACUAUUGAUCCAAAACCCUCUUUAACCAUGUUGGUGAUUGAUUAGCUAGUAGUUUUGGUAUAAUUCACGAGCAUUUUUGUGCUACAAUGGGCCCAAACCCUCUUUAACCAUGUUGAUGAUGUUUCUAAUUAAUUUGCAAGUUCUGAUACACACACACACCACAAAACGUAAUGUAUAUAGCUCACAUAUAUUGACACAUGAGCAUAAACUACCCAUGAAUUGGAGGAAAUUUAUCAUAACAAAUAUAAGGAGCUCAAUGUUUCUCAAAUAUUGAUUUGCGAUUUAGGUAUCACCAGUUAAGGAUUAGAAAUGAUGAUAUUCCUAAAACUGCAUUUAGAACUUGUUAUGGACACUACGAGUUCCUAGUGUUGUCUUUUGGAUUAACGAAUACACUAGUAGCCUUUAUAGACAUGAUGAACAAGGUUUUUAGGCCAUUUAUUGAUAGAUUUGUUAUUGUAUUCAUUGAUGAUUUUUUAGUGUAUUUUGAGGAGUGAAGAGGAAUAUGAAGAGCAUUUGUUACUGGUUCUUUAAACUAUAGUUUUGAAACCCGGACCGGCCCGGUGGGUCGACCCCGGACCCGGCCGACCCAUGCCUAGGACCGGUCCGGGUCUAAGUAAAAAUCCGCUGGGGAAUUGGCCCAGCGAAACUCGGUUGACCAGGAACCCGGGUGACCCGGGUAAACCCGGCUGAGACCCAACCUCUCUUUUGUUUUUUUAAUAUACAUGGAUGUGAAACCACGUCGUUUUGGACUCUCAUUUCCUAUUUCUACAUUUUCUCAGAAACCAAACUGAGGAUAUCAAAGAGCAGAGGAUUUCAUAGUAAAUCAGGAAACAUUUAAGUACCAAUCAUUUAAUAAAAAAAUAUCUUCGCACCAACAGAAAGAAAUUGUAAAGCCCUUAAAUUUCAAUUCAAAGAAAAUGAAAAGAACAAAAAAUCAAAAUUUUAAACAGGCAUGAAAAACAUAUAAAAUCUCUUCUUAAGCAUCAAAAACUCUGUUUCAAUGAUCUCAUGAAACAUCAAAAGACUAGGAUGAUUAUCUUAAUAUUUUAAGACCCUUUCGAUGCUCUUUUCCUUAAUAUUUUCUCAAGAAACAAACGAAACUCAUAUGAGAACACCAAUUUACCUUCAAGUCCAGGCGCUUUUCCCAUCCACUUGGCACUUGCAAAUCGAGGUCCAAUUCUUGAGAUUCGCUCUCUACAUUAUCACCACAACGUUCCUAUCAUCCGUGUAUUCACUCCAAAGCCUUACCAGAGAGCUCACCUCAACUGCCAUAUUCACAAAAAAAGAGCUCAUUUUCUUCUUCUUCACAACAGCAGCAGCAGGGCACCCCUGCUUGAAAACGCGCUCUAGCGGCUUCUCCAUCAAAUGUGCCCUAAUCUUGACCCUUAUCCUUUCUUGGGGCUUGGGGUCCUUUGAAUUCUUGUGGAGGAUUUUGUCGAGGCUUUCAUUGGAGCUAGAGAGACAGAGGGAGAGUGGGUGAUUUGUGUUAAAAUUUAACACAUGUUAAUGUAUAUGAGAGGGGAGUUAGAAUAUAAAUAGAGGGAUAGAUAUAUGCCAUGUUAUGAUAGGAAAAAAGCGCCUCUGUCUCUGACUCUCUCUGGCUUCUUUUUUUUGAGUUGACUCAUGUUAACCCGGGUCAACCCAUCUGACCCGUGACCAGAUCAUUAGACCGGGUCGACCACCGGGUUGGGUUUCAAAACUAUGCUUUAAACUCUGAGAUAUCAUCAAUUGUAUGAAAAGUUUUUGAAAAGUGAGUUUUGGUUGGAGAAUGUUGGAUUUUUGGGACAUGUGAUGUCGAAAAAUGGGAUAGAGGUUGAUCCACUAAAGGUGAAGGCAAUUAAGAAGUGGCCUAGAUUGACUAUAGUAUCUAAGAUUAGGAGUUUCAUGGGUUGAGCACGAUACUAUAAGUGGUUCAUGAAGAGCUUUUCACGAAUUGCAGCUUUAUUGACUAAGUUGACACAGAAAAAAGUCAAGUUUUAGUGGUCAAAACAGUGUAAGAAGAGUUUUCUAGAGUUGAAGGAAAGGUUAAUUGAGACUUUGAUUUUGAUAGUACCUUCAGAGCCUGGUGGCUUUACUGUGUAUUGUGAUGCAUUAAGAAUUGGAUUGUGUUGUGUUUUAAUGCAAAAUGAUAAUGUGAUUGCUUAUGCCUCGAGGAAAUUGAAGAAAGAUAAACAAAAUUACCCCACACACGAUUUGGAGAUGGUUGCGAUAGUGUUUGCUCUUAAGAUUUAGAGACACUACUUGUUUGGAAAGACAUGUGAGAUGUUUUCAGAUUAUAAGAGUUUUCAAUAUAUCUUCCAAUAGAAGGAUCUGAAUAUAAGAUAAAGAAGGUGGAUAGAAUUGUUAAGUGAUUAUGAAUGCAUGAUUCAAUAUCACCCGAGAAAGGUGAAUGUUGUUGCCGAUGCCUUGAGCAUAAAGUGUAUGGUGGUUUGGCUUAUAUUCAAGAGGUGAGGAGGCUAUUGAUUAGGGAGUUACACAAGUUGUUGGAUGAGAAGGUUAGUUUUGAGAUUGGGGAAUUGGGAGCAUUGUUGGCUCACUUUCAAACUAAGUCGAACUUGGUAGACCGGAUUAAAGCAAUUGAUGAGAGAUGAGCAGCUAUAUAAGAUUCAAAAUGAGUUAGAGUUAGGAAAGGCUCUGAGUUUUAUUGUUGAUGAGGAUGGUUUUUUGAGAUUUGGUUUUAGGCUUUUGUGUGCUUGAGAUGGAUGAUUUAAAAAGAGAUGUGAUGACGGAAGCAUAUCAAACCACCUAUAAUGUACAUCCUAGUUCUAACCAGAUGUAUAGAGACUUGAAAUAGUAUUACUAAUAAAAUGGCAUAAAAGACAUUACUGAGUUUGUAUCUCAAUGUUUGACCUAUUAGAGGAUUAAAAGCGAGCAUCAUAAGCCAGUAGAGCUUUUACAAUCAUUGUUGAUUCCUAACUUUUACAAUCAUUGUUGAUUCCUGAAUGGAAAUGAGAUAAAAUCAUUAUGGAUUUUAUGUGAAGUUUGUCUCGGAAAGGUGACAGUUGAUUCUACCUUUCCCAUGAACUAUCUGAAUGAAAUUAAUUACCUGGUGGAAUAUUGUUGGUGGUAUCCGACAUGAUUAAAGUUACGUAACAUGAUCCAUCAUCACUAGUCUCUCCUCAUUGCUGGAAUCCGACAUGAUCAAGGUUUCCAAAGGGAGAGCCUUUAAUUUGCUUCUGUCAAGUUGGAAAUUUUUAUCUUAAUCUGAAACCAUUUGAGCCCAUGAUCUGGACUUUUGUUCUACUUUUUAAGCCUUUGUCUUUGUCUUUGUCUUUCUGUUUAGAUGGCAUUGGAUCGUCUUCCCUGCAAAAAAAUCUCUUAUGAAGGUAGGAAAUUUGAAUUUUCUUUAUACAUUCAAUAUAGCUUGCUAUCGAAAAUACUUAAAAGAUGAUAUCUUAAUUUACAUAGCUGAUGUCCAUUUAUUCUAACUCUUCUCCAAAUAAUCAUAGGAUUUAUGCAGUUUAUGCAUUCGGUCACGCCUUUUCUACUGAAUGGAUUAAUUAUUUUAUUACGCUUGAAUCAUUUAUUUAUCUGUAUUGAUUUAAUUUUUUUGCUGUAAUAUAUAUACUUUUUAAUUAAUAUGGGUGUUCGGGCCAGCUUGCAUGCACCUCGACUAAUCUCACGGGCCCUGAAGUUAAUGACCAUAUAAGCCUCCAGUAGUCCUAAGAUUUGUGAGACUCGAACUGUUGAUCUUUAAAAAGUAAAUCCAAAAUCUAAUCAGUUAAACUAUACCUUUUCAGGUUUUAUUUUUUUUUGCUGAAAUAUUGCUCCUCUUGUAUAUUGUUGUUGUCAUUGAAUUUUAUUAAUAGAGAUAAUCAUUGCGUAUUUAAAAGAAAGUGGUGAAUGAUUUUUCAAAAAGGGUUACAUUUAUGUUGAUUUAAUUAUCUAUACCUUUUAAACCUUUUAAGUGGAAUUUUUGGGAAUUAAACUUCAAAUUGAGUUGUUCAACAAAAUAAAAACAAUAAAAAUAUUACAUGUGUGCAAGGGAUUCCGACUAUAUAUCUGCUCUUUGUAGAAUUUAAACCUUUUUCAUUAGUCAUUUUGCUUUGCUUUAAUCUGCAUUGAAAAUUAAUUUUUAUUCUUUUAAUAUUAAAUCAUUUAAUAUUUCCUUUUAUUCUUUUAAUUUGUUUCAAUAUGAAAUCGACAGUCCAUACCUUCCCUGCAAAAUUAAUUUGGUUUAAUCAAGAACAUAGGUCACGACCUUAAUUAAUAAUUUAUCUUUGAAGAUGAAGAUUGUUACGAUACAAUUAAUCAAGAAAUAUUUUGUUUUUGUAUUUAAAAUUGUGUUUGAAUAAAUUUUAAAAAUUUAUUUGUCUUGAAAAAAUAUAUUUUUAAUAUUUUUUUAUAUGCUAAUAUUAAAAAAAAAAUUAAUUUGAUUAAUGAAAUCUCCAAGCAACUUAUAUCCAUGCAUUAUGAAGAGGGAAAAAAAAGAAAGAGAGAUAUCUACUACCUUAAUAUGCUAUUCUUUCUCAUUCACGUGUUUACAUUUUCCAGGCAGCUUCUUCAAAGUUUCAACAUUAGGGUUCCUUCCUUCCUAUAUAUUAUAAUAUAAUGUUUGGUAGGUAAGCGGCGGGUUCCUUCCUAAUUCCUAUCAAACAAUACAAUAAUUAAUUAUUAUUAUUAUUAUUAUUUAUACAACUUUAUUAAUUUUCUAAAUCAUAUAAUCAUCUCUGAUCUGUGAUUUCUCGUCUCUUUUAAUCCUCAGGACGUACUAAUCAUCUUGUACCUAUUUUCCUUUCCACAUCUCACCAGUGCGAACUAGAUUUAUGUAUACUGCAACUUUAUUAUUUUUUUAAACCAUAUAUUCUUCUCUGAUCUGUGAUUUCUCUUCUUUUUUUUGGCUGAUUACUGCUCAAGCAAACCAGCACUUGAAUCCAGGUAAAUUAUUUUUACUUCAUCUUCUUCAUCUUGUUGGUGUUUUUGUUUUUAUAUUUGUAACUAUGGUUUGAAUCUUUUAACUAAUCCAUAAUAAAUGAAUCGAUCUUUUUCUCAGAUUUGUCAUUUUUUUAAACCAUAUACUGUAUCUCACCAGUGCGAACUAGAUUUAUGUAUACUGCAACUUUAUUAUUUUUUUAAACCAUAUACUCUUCUCUGAUAUGUGCUUUCUGUUCUUUUUUCACCUCCGGUACUAGUCAUCUUGUACUUGUGGUGAGAUGGAAGGAGUUCCCACCAUCUGUAAAAAAGUUUAUUUUUUCAAUCAGGAAAGAAACAUCAUAGCUUGAACAUGAACCCAGCAAACUAAACAUAAGUUUGUAUUGCUUCAUAUUGUUUGCGAAUGAUUUUGGAUUCAGGAGUCAAUAUUUUUCUAAUCAAGCUGCUGUAAUUCCUAACAUAGACAAUAUACAACAAGAGAACUGCAUGCCUCGGCACUUUGGAAACUCUACUAGGUACUGAUUGACUUCUAGCUGUUGUGUUUUAACACCAUUAACUUUUACUGCUUAAGAGAGACUACCAAUUAUGGAAAGGUUUUAUAAUAUGAUCACUUCAUUUUUAUACAGGUCACAGAUGGAUAACCUCCAAGUCAGAGGAUUGCAAAAUCAAACUGCAGGCCUUGACACUUCCUUGCAAAGUCAAAUUAGGGGUUUAAAUACUCAACAAGUAAGAAGUAUAAUUGAAUUAUCGUCGUCUUUUCCCCCCUAUGAUUAUGCAAUAAACUAACUAUCAAUUUUAAUAGCAAAGUAAGGGUAACAGCGGUGAAGUAGUUUCUCAUCCAUCCGGAUAUGGUGCAACUUCCUCCCCCUCUUUUUUUCUAAAGGUCGAAAUGGUUGGAUCAAGGGAUCCAUUUUGGAAUUUUGUUGAAAAGAGGGCUAAUGGUAGCAUGACGUGUAAGUUUUGUCAACGUACAUGGGACAAUAAAAUUUCCAUUUCAAGGUUCAAAUGGCAUUUAUCAGGAGAGAAAAGGCGUGGUGUUGACAUUUGUCUUGGGGUGACUACAAAAGUUCAAGAAGCAGCCUUUCAAGCUAUGAAUGAUGGCAACAAAAGACAUAAAAGCACAGAAAGUUCAAUUAAUGUUAAUGAUUGUGGAAUUUCAACUUGUCCACAAGAACAAAACAUUGAGAAUGAAAAUAUGGGAGGAGGUACUGGAAGGGUACAAAGAGAAGUUCAGGUUAUAGAACCCGGAGUAGGGGAAGAGAGGAUUACUUCACAUGCAAUAACAGGAAACGACAAAGUAAGCAUGACCGGAAUGAGAGCACAUGAAGAUAGAGUUUCCGAAGGGGCACUCGAGAGGAGACUGAGGACAGAACCAGUGGAUCGACCGUUGGAACAAAGCAAUGCAGUACUUGGCAAUUUGGCAGGGGGUGCUGGAAGGAUAAGAGUUCAGGGCAUGGAACAAGGUCCCGGAAAAGAGAGAAUUCAGUCGCAUUUACAAGCGGAAAAUGGCAUGGAAAACACUGGUGAAGGAUCUUUUCAGCAUGAUGCAUUUGAGACUACCAAGAACAGAGCAAGUGCAGCUUCUGGAGCCUCGAGGAGAUUCAUCCCAAUUUUUUCGUGACAUUGGAAGAUGUUAUGAUCAACCUUGUGCUCCAUCAAUAAACGAUGAUGUAAAUAGGCAUGAUGCGCUGGACAUGGUUAGAGUGACGACAGAACCAGUGGAGGAGGAUGAUGUGGAGAAUAGUGUUAGAUCAGUAGUGCAGGCUGGCGCAGGAGAUAGAUCUUCUGAAAGUCUAAAAUACGACAAGACUAGAGGAGUUCCAUUACCUACUAACAAUACAAAGCCAGUGAGUCAAGCAUUUGAAGAGAAUACAAAGGUGAUAUUGUCUUUGUUAAUGGAUGAUGAAGUCGCAAUCAUUGGCAUUUACGGGAUGGGAGGAGUUGGUAAAACAACAAUAAUACUACAUAUCUAUAAUAAGCUUCUACGAAGACCAGACAUUUGUGAUCAUGUUUGGUGGGUGACUGUGUCUCAAGAUUUCAGCAUUAAUACAUUGCAGAAUUUUAUUGCUAAACGUCUUGAUCUAGACCUUUCAAGCGAAGAUGAUGUUCGACACAGAGCUGCCAAAUUGUCAGAAGAACUAAGGAAGAAACAAAAAUGGAUUCUGAUUUUAGAUGAUUUGUGGAACAAUUUUAAGCUUGACGAAGUGGGAAUUCCUGUCCCAUUAAAAGGAUGCAAGUUGAUUUUGACAACUCGAUUAAAAACAGUAUGUAAUCGGAUGACUUACCACCACAAAAUCAAAGUGAAGCCACUUUCUGAGGGAGAAGCUUGGACUUUGUUCAAGGAGAAUCUUGGACGUGACACACUUUUACAAAAAGUGGAAGUAAUUGCAAAAGCUAUUGCAAGGAAAUUUGCUGGUUUGCCUUUGGGAAUUAUUACAGUGGCAAGAAGCUUGAGGGGAGUGGAUGACCUCCAUGAGUGGAAUAAUACAUUGAAGAAAUUGAAAGAAUCAGGAUUUAGGGACAUGAAUGAGAAGGUAUUCAAGGUGUUGAGGGUUAGUUAUGAUCGGCUAGGUGAUAUAGCACUACAACAAUGUCUCUUGUACUGUGCAUUAUUUCCCGAAGGUCAUGUGAUUGAAAGGGUGCAGUUGAUAGAUUAUUUGAUCGAUGAGGGAAUAAUUAAAGGAACGAGGAGCAGGAAAGAUGCAUUUGACGAGGGCCACACAAUACUUAAUAGACUUGAAAAUGUCUGCCUAUUAGAAAGUGCUAAAACGAGGAGAGGGAAAAAUGGUGUCAAGAUGCAUGACUUGAUUAGAGACAUGACCAUCCAUUUACUGCUAGAGAGCUCUCAAUACAUGGUUAAAGCAGGUGCGCAAUUAAAAGAGCUGCCAGAUGCAGAGGAGUGGACGGAGAACCUGACGAUUGUUUCACUAAUGCAAAACAGAUUUGAAGAAAUUCCUUCCAGCCAUUCACUAAAAUGUCUAAAUCUGUCAACUCUAUUUCUAUCUGAUAAUGAAGGGUUGGGAUUGAUUGCGGAUUCAUAUUUCAAGCAAUUGCAUGGGCUCAAGGUCCUCCAUCUAUCUUGCACAGCUAUUGAAAAUUUGCCUGACUCUGUAUCUGAUUUGGUGAGUCUCACUGCAUUAUUGCUUAAUGAUUGUGCGAAAUUAAGACAUGUUCCAUCAUUAAAGAAGCUCAGGGCACCGAAGAGGUUGGAUCUCUCUGAAACUGUGCUUGAAAAGAUGCCGCAAGGAAUGGAAUGCCUAACCAACCUAAGGUAUCUUAGACUGAAUGGAUGUGGUGAAAAAAAGUUUCCUAGUGGGAUAUUACCAAAACUCUCUCUCCUGCAAGUCUUUGUACUAGAAGACUUUUUUGAGGGAAGUUAUGCUCCGAUAACAGUUGAAGGAAAGAAAGUAGGAUCCUUGAGAAAUUUGGAAACUUUGGAAUGCCAUUUCGAAGGUCUCCCUGACUUCGUGGAGUAUCUCAGAUCUCGGGAUGUGGAUGUGACCCAAUCAUUAAGCACAUACACAAUUUUAAUAGGAAUAAUUGAUGAUUUAGAUUAUUUGGUAGAAAUUGAGUAUCCUUUUCCAAGUAAAACAAUUGUGUUGGGUAAUUUGAGUAUCAACAGAGAUAGAGAUUUUCAAGUCAUGUUCUUCAAUGACAUUCAAAAACUGGUUUGUGAAAGCAUCGAUGCAAGAAGUUUAUGUGAAUUUUUAUCAUUAGAGAAUGCAACUGAACUGGAGUUCGUCUGCAUUCAGGAUUGCAAUAGCAUGGAGAGCUUGGUUUCAUCUUCUUGGUUCUGCUCUGCUCCACCACCAUUGCCAUCAUAUAAUGGUAUGUUUUCUAGUAUUAAAGAGUUUUAUUGUGGAGGAUGUAACAAUAUGAAGAAGCUGUUCCCCCUUGUGUUGCUGCCAAACCUCGUAAAUCUGGAAGUGAUUCAAGUGAUGCUCUGUGAGAAAAUGGAGGAGAUAAUAGGAACAACAGAUGAAGAAAGCAGCACCUCCAAUUCUAUCACGGGAUUCAUUCUCCCAAAGUUAAGAACUCUGAGAUUGAUUGGUUUACCAGAACUGAAAAGUAUUUGCAGUGCAAAACUGACUUUCAUUUCUAUUGAAGAUACUACUGUAAGGUGUUGUAAGAAGCUGAAGAGGAUUCCAAUUUGUCUUCCGUUGCUUGAAAAUGGCCAGCCAUCUCCUCCCCCUUCUCUUGCAAAAAUCCAUGCAUAUCCAAAAGAAUGGUGGGAGACAGUAGUAGAGUGGGAGCAUCCUAAUGCAAAGGAUGUCCUUCGCCCCUUUGUAGAGUUUUGGUAGGAGCAUCAUUUAUCAAUUCUAUCCUUCUGGAAGAAUACUAAUUGAUUGUUACCUUAAAUUUGCUCUUAUUCAAUAAUAUAUCAUUUUAUUAUUAUUAUUUUGGAUAUGAAUGAUGAAAAUUUCCUGUAUUCUGCUAUGAAAUAUUUCUUUUUUAUAUAGUGUGCUUACAAUUACAUAAAUAACAUUUUUCAUUUUUUUUAUUUGUUUCAUUGUCUUUUUAAGACUAUUGAAUUGUCAUAUAUUUUGAAAAAAGAAUGAUAAUCGAAUUACAUGACUUGGAAUUUUGAAUUAUAUUUAGAAUAAAAUUUCAUAUAUACCUUUCCUCAUACAAAAAUUCAUCCUAUUUUUCUAUAUUCCUCAAGAUUUUUUCUUCUGUAUUUUUAAGUUUUUUCUGUCUUUAUAAACAACAUAAAAAAUAAACAAAAAGGGGUUGUGUUUUUUUCAUUUGAUGUUUAUUAAGAUGUUAGGUUUAGUUAUUAUCAUACAAAUUGUGAAGGGUGCAAAAGCUAGCUUGUAGAUUUUUUGGUAAGUGCUUAAAAACUGCAUAUUGCAGGGCCGCAACAAGGUUGCAUUAUACCUUCACCUCCAUACCGAACUCCUCUUCAUCUCUUAUUGUUAAUAAAAAUGUAACAAUUUAGGAGCAUGAGGGAACAUUUUCACAGUGAAGAUUAAUUCAUCUCCAAAGCAGAAUACAGGAAAUAGAGAAUUAAAUCAAUAAAAGUAAGGUAUUUCAUCGCCAGUGAAUUCAUCUCUUCGAGCAUUCUUGAAUUCUACAUCGGUGAAUUUCAGUACAACUACUAUACACAAGAUGUAGCACUCUUCCCCUUUCCAACCUUGCUUAAUUCAUCAAAAGCUAAUUCCUGUAUAUCAACUUGGUUUGGGAAAAUAACUGAAAAACUCUGUUAAAUGAGUUCUAUGAAAAUGAGGAAGGCUAAGAUUCUCUAUUAAAUGCUUCUGAGAGAGUAUGAACUGAACAUUCAUUCUCUGUUGGAUGAGUUUUGGUUUCUAAACCUGAAAUUGCCAUCAUAAGCACUAGCUAGGGAAGUUAGGAUGAGCUUUUCCUGUCAUUAUAUCACAUUUUUCUGCUAGGAUAAUACUCUUUAUAUUCUCAGCUAUUAUUGCUUAUAAUCAUAGUUUUGAAACCCGGUCUGGUCAUCGACCCGAUCAAGUGCUCGGGUCACGGGUCAGAUAGGUUGACCCGGGUCAACCAAAAAAAAAAGAUUAUGCUUCCCAGUAAAUUUUAUCAAAGCUAGUUUCUUAUCCUGAACUAAUAACAAGCAACCAGAUGUGGAAAAUCAGCCAGCAGUCAACGAACCAUCACACUCUACAACUUCUAGGCCAGCAUAUCAAAAUCUCUACAACUUAUGUUUGCUUAAAUUUCCAGUCAACUGUAAAACCAAACGAAUAUUACUAGCCGAAAUAUUUUCAGCUGUUAAUAAUUCUUAGAACAGUUUCAAUCUCUGCCUAUAACAAUUCUUAGAACAAAAUUGGGUCUUAGAGCUAGAGAUUAUCCUAGCUAGUUCUCAAUCAAUAACACUUCUUAGAACAAAACUGCUGAAAUAUCAAUAGCUUUUUGUUCUCAAUCAACAUUAUUGAUUAUCCUAGCUAGUUCCAGAAGCAAAUGCAUCAAUUAAAACUAGUGCAUCGAACAAAACCAGUCCUCAUCCAUUUUCUACACUUCCUAAUAGCAAAGGAUUUAUUACGUUGCAGAAAAGAAAAGAACAGAGAAACAUACCUGAGGUUGAGAUGACUGGGCUGCGAAUGAAUCAAUGCGACUGAAUCAACGAGCAACGAAUCGAUGCCAGAAGGCCCAGAACUGCAAGUUCAAAACACGGCCAAGAAUAAAGAAAAGAAAGAGUGAAAAAAGAAGAUUCGUGAACAGAAACAAGCAUCUAACCUUUUUCAUAGUGAAAUAACAAUGAUCAAGACGUCUUUUGCUCUCCUCUGCUCCUCAGCUCCUCAGCGAUUGAAAUUGGUAUUUUCGUUAAUUAGGUUUGAAUGUGUCCAAUUCUGCUUUGUUGUUCUUCGUUAGUUCGUCGUUUUGGCUUUUAAAAAGGCCAAAAUGACGUCGUUUAAUGUCUAUUAGUAUAUAAAAAAAAAAGAGACCGGGUCUCAGCCGGGUUUGACCGGGUGGCCCGGGUCCCAGUUCGACCCGCCGGGUCGACCGGGUUUCACCGGGCCAACUCCCAAGCGGGUUUUUGUCUCCACCCGGACUAGUCCCAGGCCCGGGUCAGCCGGGUCCCGGAUCGACCCGUCGGGCCGGUCCAGGUUUUAAAACUGUGCUUAUAAUCUUCUUGCCUCUGGUAUCUUUUCCAACCCGUUUGAGGGAUGCUUUCUAAUUUUUUUUUUGGAUUGUAAAUUUGUUGUCCACCUGCACUGUAAAACAGAGUUGUAACUGGACCUAGGAAUCCAGGAGUUAUUGGUGACAGGGGAUCUGGAUCCUUUUCGAGGGAAAGUGAGUUCAACUGUUACAUUUUGUUUACAUUAUUAUCUUGUUGCACUAAAUCAAGAAGUUUACUAGACUUAUUAUUCUGUAAAUUUGUUUUCUGAGAGCUGAGCAUUUUAUACGACCCUGUGAAUGGGAAGAUUUUAUUCUCAUAUACUUGUUGCCAACUUACUUGUGAGCUAAGAAAUAUUGCUGAAUAGAAAUGCUUUCAUUCUUUAUUGUCGGCUUGAAAGUGAAUUGAACAUUUAUUACAUGAUUUUUCUUCUCCAUUUUAUUUAAUUUAAAAGCAUUUCAUGGUUGUUUUUCUGACUUCAUUAAGUUUUUCUAAAAGCCUGAUAAUUUGUCAGAUAAUUUUAGCAGGAGUCUUACAUAUGUAUGCAGGUCAGAAGUCAUUUCCAUCAAUAUGAUGGAGUAGUAUGAACAAUUUUUUUUUUUUGUUUCUGCUAACGAUUUAUUUCAUGAUUAAGAUCGAUUUAUUUCCACUUUCUAGUAUACCAUAGUAGCCUAGGUGUGUUUUUUCCGAAAUGGUUAUGAGCAUUUUUCCAAUCUGCCGGGGAGGGGGGGGGGGGGGGUGUUGGCGGGCUUGGGCUAGGAGCGUGGUUAUUUUUAAUCUUGGGCUUUUGGCGACGCUUCACGCUGCUACCUUUUGAUUUGGCAAAAUUUUAUUCAAUUCAAUUCAUUAAAAAUAAUUGAAACUUCCAAGAUCAAAUAUGAUAUUGAGACCACGAGGAAGUCCAAAAUGCGGAGGCCUCCUGUUUCUUCAAUCUAUUUGUACCCCAUCUUCUGCUGCUGUGAUUAUUAAAGCCUUGCCCAAUAAUUAUUGGUUGACAACUUUCCUGCAACAAAAAUACAUACAGUAUCUUUGUAUCAAUGGAAAACUGAUGCGCAGAUUGGAUAGCAAAUGAUGCUUGAUGGCGUGGUUUUGAUGAGUGAAUGAAAGUGCAUUCUAAAUGUUCUAUCAUUGGAAUAAAAUGCUAAAAUAUGAUAACAAUAAUAGAAAUUAAAGGGUAUUUUUUAAUUGAAUUUCCAAGGUAUGAUGGCGCCAACCUCCAUGAGAUAGUUAACCAAGAAGUGGAGGAAUGCCUUAGAGCACCUGAGAGACAAUCAAGAGUUGGCCAGCUUACAUGCACCUCGACUAAUCCCACGGAUCUUAAAGUUAACGAUCAUAUAAGCCUCUCGUGCUUCUAAAAUUUGUGAGACUCGAACUGGUGAUCUCUAGAGAACAAAUUUAGCGCCUGAUCAGUUGAAUCAUACCCCUCAGAGUUAUUUUGAUAUUCUCUUAAAUAGACAAGUAAAGGCCUAGAGCUUCUAUUUAUUUUUUAUUUUUAGUUUUGAAUCAAAACUUUAUUUUUAGUUUUGAUAUACUUAAGUAUUUUAAUCAUAACUUUCAACUCUCAUAUCGGAUUGCUGUGAUUCUUGACGCGUUGGAGAGGUAUCUUAAAGGGCUACAAAUUAGCCUCCAAUGAGGAUUUCAAAAAAGAUCUCCCAAAGCAUGUACGUGGCUGCCAAAGAAGUCCUAAAAUUUAGGCAAUUUGUUUUCGACACACUUGAGGUUGAAAAGUGGGGCUGCCUCCUCUGAAAAGAGGGGUAUUUGGCAUAAAGAAGACGCGUGGGAAUUGCACCAUAGAAAGAAAAAGGAAGAAGGAGAACAUGCAAGGAAAAAAUCUUCUCGGGAAAUUUUUAAUGUCUAAUACAGAUUUCCAAAUUAUUCUAACUCUUUUGUUCAGAUUUAUGCAGUUUAUGGAUUCAGUCAUGCCUUUCUAUUGAAUGGAUUAAUCUUUGGAUCAUUUAUUUACCUGUAUUGAUUUAAUUUCUUUGCUGUAAUAUUGCUCCUUAAGUAUAUUGUCGUCAUUGGAUUUUCUUAAUAGGGAUAAUUAUUUAAAAGUAGUGAAUGAUUUUUCAAAAGGGUUAUAUUUGGUUUAGUGCUGAUUUAAUUAUCUACACCUUUUAAGUGGGAGUUUUGGGAAUUGAUUUCGAAUUGAAUUAUUCAACAAAAUAAGAAAAAUUAAAAUAUCAAGUGUGUGCAAGGGAAAACACCAUAUUAAUAUUAAAAAUUUAAAAAUAUUUUGAUUAUUGAAAUCUCAAUACAACUUAAACCCAUGUAUUACGAAGAGAAAAAAAGAGAGUAAAAGGUUGAAAAUAUAUAAAAAUAAUAUUUUUUUCAGAUUUUAUUUUUUUAUUUUUAACAUUAAUACAUCAAAAUUAUAAAAAAACUAAAAUCAAUCUAUUUAUCUUUUUAAUUUUUUUAAAACAACAAUUAAAAACAAAAGUAAUUAUCCGCUAUUAAUCACAUACUUAAUUUGUUAUUGUUAAAACACCAUGUUUUCCAAAAAAAUUAAAUUUGUUUCUCUUUAAAUCAUUAAUUUUUAGUGUUUUUUAAAAUUAUUUUAAUGUAUUAAUAUUUAAAAUAAAUUUUUAAAAAUAAAAAAAAUAUUAUAUUAAUUUUUUUACUGCUUACAUUUUCUCGGAAACUUCUUCUAUGCUUCAUAAUUGGGGUGGUCCACACGUUAACUUCCUAUAUUAUUAUUAUACAUAAAGCUAAAACAUGUGGAGGAAAUCACUGUUCACCAAGACUCAUUACACUGUGGAUUGUAAUAGUGCUAAAAACGAGCAUUGUUCACCAAGACGCAUUGCACUGUGAAUUGCAUAAAUUGUGGGGGCAUUGUGGGCUGUAACCCCAAGCACAGACGCCUGGCGCAAGGGCAGUCCAUUCCUAGCCACAAAAGUUCCAAGGCUGCAGGGGGGAGGGGCAGCCACACCCAAGUUGGGCUGGAGGCGUCCACGCCCACACCCAGGUUGGGCUGGACGCGUCCACUCCCAACCCCAAGUUGCCACCUUGAGCUUGGGUGGCUCCAAUGUGAGGGGCAAACCCAAGCGCCACGUGGUGCUUUUGUCUUGGCAAAAGGCUUAAUUGCCUAUGACAGCCUCAAGUUGGGUCUGGAUGCGUCCGCGCCCAACCCCGAGUUGGGUUCUUGAAAUUACUAUUCAAAGUGUUCAUAUCAAAAUAUUAUUAUUUGUGUUAUAAAUAUUAUUAUUUUUAUUAUAACUCAAAGUAUUGAUAUAAAAAAUAUUAUUAUUUGUGUUGUAAUCAUCCUUGAAAUUCUUAAUAUAAUUAUUUAUGUUAUAAAUAUUAUUAUUUUUAUUAUAAUUAAUAGUGUGAAUAUUAAAAAUAUUAUCAUUGUGUUAUAAAUAUUAUUAUUUUUAUUAUAAUUAAUAGUGUGAAUAUUAAAAAUAUUAUCAUUGUGUUAUAAGUAUUAUUAUUUUUAUUAUAAUUUAUAUUAUUAAUAGUUUUGAAAAUAAAUUUAUUAAUAUUAAAAAAAUGUUAUUUGUGUUAUAAUUAUUUUUAUUUUUAUUAUGAUUAAAAGUGUUAAUAGUAAAAAUAAUAUUAUUUGUGUUAUAAUUAUUUUUAUUUUUAUUAUGAUUAAAAAUAUUAAUAUUAAAAAUAGUAUUAGUUUCUUUUUAUUAUGAUUAAAAGUAUUAAUAUUAAAAAUAAUAUUAUUUGUGUUAUAAUUAUUUUUAUUUUUAUUCCAACUUGGGGCACACAGCAACGCCCACACCCGAGUUGGGUCUGGAGGCAUGCUCGCCCAAACCCGAGUUAGGCGUGGAGGCAUCCACACCGACACUAAAGUUGGGGGUGGACGAGUCCACGCCCACACCCGAGUUGGGUCUGGAGGCAUGCUCGCCCAAACCCGAGUUAGGCGUGGAGGCGUCCACACCGACACUAAAGUUGGGGGUGGACGAGUCCACGCCCACACCCGAGUUGGGGGUGGACGAGUUCACGCCCAACCCCAAGUUGGGAGUGGUCGCAUCCACGCCCACACUCAAGUUGGGUCUGAAACUCAGGGUUGGGCGAGCACGCGUCCACACCCAACUUGGGUAUGGGCAUGGCUGGGUGCCCCAAGUUGUCCACGCCCGCCUUGGAUUUGGGUAGGGACGCAUCAAGACCCAACUUGUGGUUGGGGUUGGACGUGUCCACGCCCACUCCCAAGUUGGGUCUCGACGUGUUCGUGCCCAUCCACAUGUGUUAAUAUAAUAAUGUGUGUUAUAAAUAUUAUUUUUUCUCUACCUUUUUCCUUCUAAAAUUAUCUAGCCUUCUCUCUAAUAAACUAAGAAACAUCAACAUACAUUUUCUAGCCCAGCAGUGGUUCCACUAGCCGGUGACAGGAGCAGAGCUAGAAAUUUAAAUUUUUUUAGGUUUUAGGAUUAAACAUAUAAAUCUGUUGAAGGGGGUUGUAAAAAUUAAUUCCUUGCAGGGGCCGGACCCUGCCAGUCCCUCCUAGUUCUGCCCUGACGGCAGGUGACAGUGUGGUAGAGAUGUCUAGCUACUGCUCAAAGUCCCAGCAACAACGGUACUGUUGUAUAUAUAAGAAAUGGCAAUUACCCUAAAUAAUAUUUCCAUUGGUCACUACUUUAUGGGAACUCAAUUCCGCAUGUUCUUAUUGAGAGGCAUACUGUCCCUAGUUCAACCAAGAAUGGAGGUCAUAGCCAGCAGCGGAGCCACAUAAAUUAAAUUUUUUUUUAGAAGGUUAAAACUUGCAAUUUCUCGCAAGUUCUUUUUUCAAGCAAUUGCAUGGGCUCAAAGUCCUCGAUCUAUCUUUCACCUGUGUUGAUAAUUUGCAUAAUUCUGUCUCUGAUUUGGCGAGUCUCACUACAUUAAUGCUUGUUGGUGGUAAUAAGUUAAGGCUUAUACCGUCUUUAGAAAAGCUCAAGGCGCUGAAGAGGUUGGAUCUCUCUUGUUCUGCACUUGAAAAAUUACCUAAGGUAUCUCAGAAUGAAUGGAUGCGGUGAAAAGAAGUUUUCUAGUGAGAUAUUACCUAAACUCUCUUAUCUUCAAGUCUUUGUAUUAGAGGAGUAGAUGCCUACCAAAGGACAUUCAACAACUUACCAUUUUUAAAAGUUCAUGCGAUGUUUCAUCAUUAAUCAAGUAUGCAAUUGAACUGGAGCUCACCAACAUUUGGAAGUGCUAUAACAUGGAGAGCUUGGUUUCAUUUUCUUGGUUCUGCUCUGCUCCACCAUCAUCUCCAUCUUAUCAUGGUAUAUGUUCUAGUGUUAAAGAGUUUGAAUGCUCUGGUUGUAAGAGUUUGAAGAAAUUGCUCCCUCUUGUGUUGCUGCCGAACCUCGUAAACUUGGAAGAGAUUAGAGUUGAAGAAUAAAAGAAAAUGGAGGAGAUAAUAGGAACAAGAUCAGAUGAAGAAGGGGUAAAUUCCUGUGUUUUGGUUUAAAUUUUCGAGAAAAAGAAAGAAAGAAAUAAAAAGAUGAAUAAUAAUAAUAAUUGAUGGUGUAGAAAUUAUUAUCAAGAAGGUUAACGUUGCACCAUAUAAUCAAUCACUAGCCUCUCCUCAUUCAUGUGCUGGCUUCAGUGCAGUAGAAAAAAAAAUGGAAGUAAUUUUACCUUUAAUUAUGUUAAAAAAAUAUAGAUUGAAACUAUAAAGUUUUUUCAGAUGUGAUUUGGUUUUAAGUUGAAAAUUGAAUUUUAGAAGUUAAAAAACUAUUCCUCGAUCAAAACUAUCUGAAAAAAUAUUACAGUUUGUUGUCGUCUGCCCAAUUUUAAAAACAAGAAAUGCCACGUGUGUACGCCUGGUAUUCUAAGCCUAGAAAUAUUUAUUUUUAAUUUAAAAUUAAUUGUUUAAAAUUAAUAAUUAGAAUGCCAUGUAAAUAUCAUUCAACUAUGUCAUAUAUUUCAAUAAAACAACUCUUGUUUUGGUUAUAUUUGCAAUAACUUUGUUAAAUGAUCUAUGAGCAUAAUAUGCAAUAAAUUGUAAAACAAAUUGCAUAUAAAAUUAUAAAUGUUAUAUGAGAAUAAAAUAGAUUUUUUUUUUGUUAUUGUUGAUUUUUUAUAUAGUCUUGACAUAUUGAUUAUUUUUUGUUUUUUUAAAUUACAGCAAUAAAAAUUACAGCAAUGAUCGUUUUGUUUAUCAAUAGAAAGACAUGUUUUCAUAAUAAUAAUAAGAAAAUGAGAGUUUUUCCUUAAAAAAUAAUUUUUUUUCCUCUUGUAGUUUAAAUUAUUGAGAUUCUUGGAAAUAUUUAUUUGAAUUACCUUGAGUUUUUAUUAAAAACAACAUUAUUAUUUUUCUGAGUUAGAUUUUAAGUUCUAAUUUUGGCUUCCCUUUUACACGGUUGUCUACUUUAUAUUUUUCAAAUUUAUUAUUUUUCUGUUAAUAUUUUCCCUUACUGGUUUGGCUUUUUGUGUUUCAAAAUAAAUUAAAAUAUAUAUAUUUCAUAUUGCUCUUUUUAGAAGAUAUUUGGAAUCAUUUGCCAAAUUUAUUUUCUGUUUUUAUUUUUGAAUUUUGAAAUGACUCUUCAAGAAACACUUCCAACCAAUUAUUUACCCUGGAACUUGGACGAUGUAUAAUUCCAAGCGGGCAUGCUGCAUUUCUUAGCCAGGUGGAGCAAAAAUUUGGGUAUGAUUAGUUGGGCUAGUUUAUAGGCCUUUUGCAAUAGGAUUUCUGUCCUUUCUGCUAAUUUAUCUAAAUAUAAGCUUUAGAAUCUUGAUUCUGAAUUUUUUAUUUUGACACGAGUUUGAGAUGAAAAAGAAAAGUCACCCAAAAAAAAACUUGAAAAAAAAAAAAAAUUACUGGCUGACAACUUUCCAGCAACAGAAAUACAGUAUAUUUGUAUUAACUGGUGUGCAUAUUGGAUAGCAAAUCAAGCUUCAUAGAAAAACUGUUGAAGUUUUCUACUCAUGCACUGAAGCUCCCUCUGGUUGUUUGAAGCUAAAGCUUGAUAUUGGCGUUCCUGGGGUUUUGAUGAGUGUAUGGAAGUGCAUACUAUCAUUGGAAUAAAAUGCUAAAAUGUGAAUAAAAAUAAUAGAAAUUAAAGGGUGUUUUUGAAUCGAACUUCUAUUUACUUUGAUGUACUCUUAAACAGACAAGUCAGGGCCAGGAGUCGUGAGAUUCACUUGGAAACAGCCUGGAUACACCAAUGUAUUUUAGUCAUAACUUUCCACUCACAUAUCGGCUUGCUGUGAUUCUUGACGCGUUGGAAAGGUUUCUUGAAGGGCUACAAAUUAGCCUCUAAUGAGGAUUUCAAAAAAGGAACUCCUAAAGCAUGUACGUGGCUGCCAAAAAAAAGUCCUAAAGUUGAGGCAAUUUGUUUUUGACACAACGGGGAUCAUGGAGGCGUGAUGUGAAAAGUGGGGCUGCCUAAUUUGAAAUGAUGGGUGUUUGGCAUAAAGAAGACGUGUGGGAAAUGCACCAGAGAAGAAAAAAAACAGAAAAAGGAAAAGGGAUUUAUGUAGUUUAUGGAUUCAGUCAUGUUUUUUCUAUUAAAUGGAUUGAUUCUUUGAUUAUAUUUGUAUCAUUUAUUUAUCUGUAUUGAUUUAAUUUCUUUACUAUAAUAUUGCUCUUUACGAAAUAAGAAUAAUUAAAAUACCAAAUGCGUGCAAGUUAUUUUAAAAAAUUAAAUUUUAAAUAUAGGAUUUAGAAUCUUGAUGAAUGAAACUAGCAGCUACCGGCUUAAAUAUUUUCUUUUAAGGAAGUGCAGCGUUGUGUCCCGAGAGAGGCCACCGGGCAAAUGCCAAGAUUAUUUUUUAUUUUAUAUUGUAAAUUUUUUAAAAUUAAUUUUUUUAAAAUGUUUUUAGAUAUUUUUAUAUAUAGGUAUCAAAAAUAAAUUUUAAAAAAUAAAAAUUAUUAUUUUAAUAUAUUUUUAAAUAAAAAAUACUUUAAAAAUUAAUCGUUAUAAUUCUAAACUGGCGGUGACGACACCAAACUAUAGUAUCAACAAGAUUUUCCUCGUAUUAAUGAAAGCAUUCUGCAUAUUCGACACAAAUUGAAAAACAUGUUUCUUCUUAAAUUGUUAUUUUCAUGUGUUUUUUAAAAUCCGAAUAUUUGAGAACGUGGUUGUUGCUAAUAUCCACCUCAGCAUGUACCUUCUGGUUAUAAACACCUUGGGUAUAUUGGUAAAAUAGAAAAACAUGUGAUUAUAUCAAGAUAAAAUAGAAAAACAUUCUGGUUAUAAUGGCAUUGACUCAAAACCUUUAAUUUGUCUUUUAAUUUUUUUAUUCAAGCAGCAAUGAACUCCCAAACAUUUCAUAUUCUUUUUGUUAUUCACGUGUUUACAUUUUCUAGGCAGCUUCUUCAAAGUUUGAACAUUGGGGUGCUCCACACGUUAACUUUCUAUGUCAUAUAAUAUAAUGUAAGGUAGCUAGCGGCAACUUUAUGUAUACUGCACUUUAUUAUCUUUCUAAACCAUAUGUUCUUCUCUGAUCUGUGAUUUCUCUUCAUUUUUUGCUGAUUGCUGCUUAAGCAAACCAGCACGCACUUGAAGAACAUCUUGAAUCAGGUUAAUUGUUUUUACUUCAUCUUGUUGGUGUUUUUGUUUUUCUAUAUGUAACUAUAUAUGGUUUGAAUCUUUAAAGUAAUCCAUGAUAAAUAAAUCGAUCUUUUUCUCAGAUUUUGUAAUCCAUGCCCUGUGGUGUUCAUACUAAAUUAACCCUAAACCUUGAAUUCAUUGUUUUUAUCUUUUCAAAAUUCUUUGCUGUUUUUAACUCCUUAUUUUAGUUUCACCAUUAAUUUUUAUCCAAUAUUUUUCGGACAAAAUGAUUCAAUGAAAAAUUGUUUUUUACUGAUUCAUGAAUUAACUUGACCAGUAAUUACCUUUCAUUAAACUUGUUUACAACAAGUGACAAAUAAUUAUUUAGCAUUAAAACAAAGAGUUAAAUCAUUAACAGCAACAUUUAUAUUUCCUAUUUUUCCUCCGAAUUUCUUUAAGAAAUAAAUAAGUCAUAUAUAUAUAAAUUUCUUAUCUAAUCUGCGCUUUCUGUUCUUCUUUAAACCUCAGAUGGAAGGGUUCCCACCAUCUUCUGCGGAGGAUGAUGUCAUGAUCAACUUGACAUCGAAUCAGUUCGAUAUUCAAUCACCAGAAGAUUCAUUCAAUAUAUCUGAGCUUCUCUCGUACGUCAUUCUUAAGCAUAUUUUAUCAAAAGAUGAUUCCUUGCAAUUUAGUUAUUCUUCAGUUUUUUCUAUUAUUCCCAAAAAACAAUAAUGUCCCAAAAAAAAAACAGGUCGCCACUGGAGGAUCUAGCCAACCAAAGCUUCAUAUCAUGCAAUGAUCAAGUUGAACAGAACUUCGUGGUGGAUAACAAUGUGAUCAACGAUAGUAUUCAGCAAACAACUCAGUUUCCACCUUCAUCUUCUCAAGCUAUAGUGAGUGCUCAUGCUUAGUGAGUGUUUCGAAACGUAAUUUUUAAAAUUUUGAAUUUAUUUUGUUUAAAAUUAAUUUAUUUAUAUAUUUUUGAAUCGUUUUAAUAUGAUAGUGUUAAAAAAAUUUAAAAUAAAAAAAAUAUUUAAAUAUAUUUUUAUGUGAAAAAUACUUUGUAAAACAACCGCUACCACAAUCAUAAACAAGCUAUUACUCCAAUUUGCUAUAAUGUGUCAAAGAACCAAUUCAACCCUAAAACUUAAAUUGUGAGGUGAGGUCCCAAGAUAUGAUUUAUAAUAUUCUUUAACACCCCUCUCAAGUAAAAGCUAUUUGGACAUAAAACUUGUACAAACUCACACUACCUUGUGCUUAAUUUUUAUCAAAUAAAUAGAGAUGAUGAGAUUCAAAGUCGUGACCACUUGAUUAUCAAGACUCUAAUACCAUGUCAAUAAACUAAUUCAACCUAAAAAUUUAAGUUAUUAGAUGAGGUCUCAAGAUAUGAUAUAUAUUAUUUUCUAACAUAAUAUCCAUUAAAUUAGCAAGUGUUUGUAUUGCUGUAUACGUUGAAUCAAAAAGUUUUAUGUAUUAGUGUAUCAAGAAUAGACAACUCAAUUUUAUAUAUAUAUAUAUAUUCUCUGCUAUGUGCUUUCUGUUCUUUUUUCACCACAGUACAUAAUUAUCAUAUCAUCUUGUACUUUUGGACAGAUGGAAGGGGUCACAGCAUCUUCUAUUGUGGAUGAUGUCAACUUGAGAUCGAAUGAGUCAGAUGGAAGGCCUCAGCUUCUCUUGUACGUCAUUCUUAAGCAUAUGUUAUCAGAAGAUGAUUACUUGCAAUUAGUUUUUGUACAGUUUUCCUUAUUAUUCCCAAAAAAAACAACAAUGUUACUGCCUAUAGAAGCAGGAAGGAGGUUUCAGGCAAUGAUCAAGGUGGACAGAACAACGUGAUCAAUGAUAGUAUUCAACAAACAACUCAGUUUCCACUUUCAUUUCCUCAAACCAUGGUAAGUACUCAGGCCAUUGAAUUAGCAAGUGUUUGUAUUGCUAUAUCGCCCAUUGGAUCAAAAAAUUUUAUGUUUUAGUGCAUCUUCAAAUUGCUUAUUGUCAAACAAACAGACAACAAUGGGAGGUUUCGAUGGAACAUCAUCAUCACGGACCAACCAAAAUGAACCAAAUUGGCCUCAAACUCCUUCAAGGUAUUCAUCAUUAUUUAACUUCUUCUUCUUGCACUUAUCAGUGAUGCCAAUUUAUUGCACUAAAUGAAUUCAUUAUGUUUGAAUAUAGUUAUCAGCCUAAUCCUAAUUUGUUUGAUCCUCAAUGUGCCAAUCCCAUGAGCAAUUAUGCAUAUGUAUACAGAAAUUAUUAACAAAUGUUGCCUAAUUUAGGGACCAACAAUGGACUAAUUAUCAGUUACCAAUGAGCAAUCCAGUGCCUGCCAUGCUACCUGGACCUCAACCUCCAAUGAAUCAAUGGUAUUAAUCUCAAAUAUACUUGACCAGAAUUGACGAGGAUCUUUCAAGUCUUUUUGAGCUUUCUAUCUCUCUUUUUUGUUUGCACAUAAUGGAACUAGAAAAUCAACCAAGUGAGAAUAAAAGUUCUAAGUUCUAAGUAUUCAUUAUGUUUAACUAUUUGAAUAUUUUUCAGGCAUCAUAAUUCCUUUAUUCAUCAACCUCAGCCGGGACAUGGCUAUAUGACACCGAAUGCAACCACUUCACAACAUGGUGGCUUCAAUCAAUUUGAACCUUCUUUUCCUGCUCUCCGGUAUCCAAUUUUUCAUUUUUAGUAUUUUCUAUAUAUAAAAAAAAAAUAGUUUUUCAAUCAGGAAAGAAACAUCAUAGCUUGAACAUUAACCCAACAAGCUAAACAUAUUGUUUGACUUUGCAAAUGAUUUUGGAUUCAGGAGUCAAUAUUUUUCUAAUCAAGGACAAGUCGAUCAAGCUGCUGUAAUUCCUAACAAAGACAAUGUGCAACAAGAGAACUUCGUGCCUAGGUACUGAUUGACUUCUAGCUGUUGCGUUUUAACACCAUUAACUUUUACUGCUUAAGAGAGACUACCAAUUAUGGAAAGGUUUUAUAAUAUGAUCACUUCAUUUAUAUAUAGGUCACAGAUGGAUAACCUCCACGUCCGAGGAUUGCAAAAUCAAACUGCUAGGCCAAAUGCCUCAAAUCCUGGCCUUGACACUUCCUUGCAACGUCAAAUUACGGGUUUAAAUACUCAACAAGUAAGAAGUAUAACUGAAUUAUCGUCGUCUUUUCCCCCCUAUGAUUGUGCAAUAAACUAACUAUCAAUUUUAAUAGCAAAAUAAGGGUAACUUGAUCCGUUAAUUUUUAUUCCAUAUUUUGACCUAUUUUUAUUCUAUAGGUCGAAAUGGUUGGAUCAAAUGAUCCAUUUCGGAAUUAUGUUGAAGAAAGGGCUGAUGGUGGUAGAAUGAAGUGUAAGUUUUGUCCACAUACAUAUGCCAUUAAAACUUCCAUUUCAAGGAUCAAAUGGCAUUUAUCAGGAGAAGAAGGGCAUGGUGUUGCCAUUUGUCGUUGGGUGCCUAAAGAAGUUCAAGAAGCAGCCUGGAAAGCCAUGUGUGGUGGCAACAAAAGACAUAAAAUCACAGCAAGUUCAAUCAAUGUUAAUGACUGUGGAAUUUCAACUUGUCCACAAGAACAAAACAUUGAGGUUAACAUGGGAGGAGGUAUUAGAAGGGUACAAGGAGAAGUUCAGGUUGUAGAACCGGGAGUAGGGGAAGAGAGGAUUUCUUCACAAGCAAUAGCAGGAAACGACGUAGUAAGCAUGACCGGAAUGAGAGCAACAGAAGAUGGAGUUUCCGAAGGGGCACUGGAGAGCAGACCGAGGACAGAACCAGUGGAUCGAGCGUUGGAACAAAGCAAUGCAGUACUUGGCAAUUUGGCAGGGGGUGCUGGAAGGAUACAAGUGGGAGUUCAGGGCAUGGAACAAGGUGCUGGAGAAGAGAGAAUUCAGUUGCAUUUACAAGCGGAAAAUGGUAUGGAAAACACUCCUGAAGGAUGUUUUCGGCAUGAUGCAUCUGAGACUAUACCAAGAACAGAGCAAGUGCAGCUUCAAGAGGCUCGAGGAGAUUCAUCCCAAUUUUGUCUUGACACUGGAAGAUAUUAUGAUCAACUCUGUGCACCAUCAAUAAGCAAAGAUGUCCUUAUGUAUGAUGUGCAGAACAUGGUUAGAGUGAGGACAGAACCAGUGGAGGAGGAGGGUGUGGAGAAUAGUGGAAGAUUAGUGCUGCCUGGCGCAGGAGCUGGAUCUUCUAGAAGUCUUAAAUACAACACAAGUGAGACUAGAGGAGUUCCAUUACCUACUAGCUCUACAAAACCAGCGGGUCAAACAUUUGAAGAGAAUACGAAUGUGAUAUGGUCUUUGUUAAUGGAUGAUGAAGUCUCAGUCAUUGGUAUUUAUGGAAUGGGAGGAGUUGGUAAAACAAAAAUACUGCAACAUAUUUAUAAUGAGCUUCUACAAAUACCAGAUAUUUGUGAUCAUGUUUGGUGGGUGACUGUGUCUCAAGAUUUCAGCAUUAAUAGACUGCAAAAUCUUAUUGCUGAACAUCUUGAUCUAGAUCUUUCAAGAAAAAAUGUUGAACUGCAUAGAGCUGCUAAAUUAUCAGAAGAACUAACGAAGAAACAAAAAUGGAUUCUCAUUUUAGAUGAUUUGUGGAAUAAUUUUGAGCUCCAAGAAGUGGGAAUUCCUAUCCCGUUGAAAGGAUGCAAGUUAAUUUUGACAGCUCGAUCAGAAAUGGUUUGUCGUCGGAUGGCUUGCCAACACAAAAUCAAAGUGAAGCCACUUUCUGAGGGAGAAGCUUGGACUUUGUUCAUGGAAAAACUAAGAUGUGAGAAAGCAUUUUCACCAAAACUGGAAGGAAUUGCGAAAGCUAUUGCAAGGGAAUGUGCUGGUUUACCAUUGGGAAUUAUUACAGUGGCAGGAAGCUUGAUGGGAGUGGAUGAUCUGCAUGAGUGGAGCAAUACAUUGAAGGAAUUGAGUGAAUCAAAAUUUAGGGACAUGGAUGAGAACGUAUUCAAGUUAUUGAGGUGUAGUUAUGAUCGGUUAGGUGAUUUAGCACUACAGCAAUGUCUCUUGUACUGUGCAUUAUUUCCUGAAGAUGGCUGCAUUGAGAGGGAGGAGUUGAUAGGUUAUUUGAUCGAUGAGGGAAUAAUUAAAGGAAUGAGGAGCUGGAAAGAUGCAUUUGACAAGGGCCACACGAUGCUUAAUAGACUCGAAUAUGUCUGUCUAUUGGAAGGUGAUAAAUUCAAAUAUGGUGGUGGUACAUUUGUCAAGAUGCAUGACUUGAUUAGGGACAUGGCUAUCCAAAUACAGCUAGAGAACUCUCAAGUCAUGGUUAAAGCUGGUGCGCAAUUAAAAGUGUUGCCAGAUGCUGAGGAGUGGACAGAGAAUCUCACAAGAGUCUCACUAAUGCAAAACCAUAUCAAAGAAAUUCCUUCCAGUCAUUCACCAAGGUGUCCAAAUCUAUCAACUUUAUUUCUAAAUGAUAAUGACUGGUUGGGAUUUAUUGCGGAUUCAUUUUUCAAGCAAUUGCAUGAGCUCAAGGUCCUCGAUCUGUCUGGCACAAGUAUUAAAAAUUUGCCGGACUCUGUCUCUGAUUUGGUGAAUCUCACUACAUUAUUGAUCAAAUAUUGUGAGAACUUAAGACAUGUUCCAUCAUUAAAGAAGCUCAGAGAAUUGAAGAGGUUAGAUCUCUCGUUGACUAUGCUUGAAAAGAUGCCAGAAGGAAUGGAAUGUCUAUCCAAACUGAGGUAUCUUAGAAUGAAUGGAUGUGGUGAAAAGGAGUUUCCUAGUAGGAUAUUACAAAAACUCUCUCACCUGCAAGUCUUUGUACUAGAGGAAGCGUCCAUUGAUGGAAGAUGUGCUCCGAUAUCAGUUAAAGUAGAGGAUGUAGUAUCCUUGAGAAAUUUGGAAACUUUGGAAUGCUAUUUCGAAGGCUUCUCUGACUUCGUGGAGUAUCUCAGAUCUCGGGAUGGGAUUCAAUCAUUAAGCACAUAUAAAAUUUUAGUAGGAAUGGUGGAUGAAAAUUAUUGGGCAGACAUUGAUAAUUUUCCAAGUAAAAUAGUUGGGUUGGGUAAUUUGAGUAUCAACGAAGAUGGAGAUUUUCAGGUUAAGUUCUUAAAUGGCAUUCAAGGACUGGUUUGUCAAUUCAUCGAUGCAAGAAGUUUAUGUGAUGUUUUGUCAUUAGAGAAUGCAACUGAACUGGAGCUCAUCAACAUUUACGAUUGCGAUAUCAUGGAGAGCUUGGUUUCAUCUUCUUGGUUAUGCUCUGCUCCACUACCAUUGCCAUCAUAUAAUGGUAUGUUUUCUGGUCUUAAAGAGCUUUAUUGUGGUGGAUGUAACAGUAUGAAGAAGUUGUUCCCACUUGUGCUGCUGCCAAACCUCGUAAACCUGGAAAGGAUUCUUGUUCGUGAUUGUGAGAAAAUGGGGGAGAUAAUAGGAACAACAGAUGAAGAAAGCAGCAGCUCCAAUUCCAUCACGGAAGUCAUUCUCCCAAAGUUAAGAACUCUGGAAUUGUUUAUGUUACCAGAACUGAAAAGUAUUUGCAGUGCAAAACUGAUUUGCAAUUCUCUUGAAGUUAUUACUGUAAUGGGUUGUAAAAAGCUGAAGAGGAUGCCAAUUUGUCUUCCGUUGCUUGAAAAUGGCCAGCCAUCUCCUCCUCAUUCUCUUAGAAGAAUGCGUAUAAAACCAAAAAAAUGGUGGAAUACAGUAGUGGAGUGGGAGCAUCCUAACGCGAAGGAUGUCCUUCGUCCCUUUGUUAAGUUUCGGUAGGAUGAGACUACUCUGCACUUAAUAUAAUAUAAUAUAGAAUAAAGGGUAAGCAUCAUCUUUUAUUUCUCUCUCUUUCUUCAAUUGAUUCUGUGCACACACCAUGAUAAUUUCUUUAUGUUAAUUAACAUCUGAUUGAUUGAACUCUUUAAGCUAUGAAAUAUUUCUUAUUUAUAUAGUGUGCUUACAAUUAACAUAAAUAACAUUUUUCAUUUUUUUUAUAUAUUUCAUUAUCUUUUAAGACUAUUGAAUUGUCAUAUUUUUCAAAAUGGUUAUGAGCAUUUUUUCCAAUUUGUUGGGCUUGGUGUUGCCCAAAUAGCUUUUAGUCUUAGUUGCUUUCCAAAGUUUUAACAUUACAGUUAAUUGCUCCAAUUCUUUUGCACAUUACCUUGCUUUCCCUAAAAGUUGGCCUGGCAAUACCUAUCAUCUUCUAGAUGAAAGCUAACACUUUUUUCCUCGCAACAGGAGACCUGCUGGGCAUCAGACCUUGCAUCCACACUUUUGAGUGGCACCGUCAAAAUCCCGUGCGUUUUUUUGCUGUUCUUCAUGGAGUUCCAUUGUCAACAUGCAAAUCUUUGCUUUUUAUUUCAUCUGGCUCAACCAUUAUUUGCACUCAGGAUGUUUAAUCUUAGGCCCUUUUUGAAUUGUUCUGGCAUCGUGCUAACAGCCUACUCCAAAUGGUUGCUCAGUUCGAUCUCAAUGCUUACACUGUUUUCAGAUUUACUCUUUAUGGUUUUCUUUUAGUGGCAACUCAGAAUCCAGAAGUAAUUCUCCUUAAUGUUUGAGAAAGAUCCUCCAGAUGGGAAUGAAUGGACUGAUUCGAAAUCUUUUUCUCUUAAAAGGGAUAGCAGAUAAGCUAAUGAUGUUGGAUUAUGAUGGAGAAGUUCGAUUCUGAGAUCUUUUGAAAGAGAGGCAUGUAUAUAGUGUUAAUUGGACUGCAAACUCGUUGACUGAUGUGUGGAGCUCGAAAAUGUAUGUCAUGUACAAAUUAUAUAAGAGCUCCAACGCAGCUUAAAUUAUGAUUAUUUCUCAGUUGGUUUUAAGUUUCAUUUCAAUACAUGCGCCAGUGCCUUUUUGCUUGUCUGCAUGCGGCAAGGGCAAAGAUAUUAUGAUAAACUCUGUGCUCCAUCACUAAACAAAGAUGUCAUUAUGUAUGAUGUGCAGAACAUGGUCAGAGUUAGGACAGAACCAGUUGAGGAGAAAAAUAGUGGAAUUGAAAGACGUGUUGGUCUAAAUAUUUCUGAUGAAGAUGAGGAGCUGCGCAUAGAGUGAGUGGUCGAAUUGAAAAAAGAAUUAAUGUAUUACAAUGCAUGUAAUUUUCCAAGUAUUAUUCUUUAUGCUUAACAAAUAAACUUUAUGUUUAUUCUUUGUCCUGUAUAAAUGAGUUUUCUCAAAUAAAUCGAGAUAUGAAAGGUUUUAACCAUACAUAUAGCAACCUCAAAAUAAAAAACAAACUUAGCUUCCACAAUGGAAGUAACAGUUAAAAAAGUUUUUUAUUUAAAAAUAUAUUAAUAUAAUAUAUAUUUUUAAAAAAAUUACUUUUAAUAUUAACAUAUUAAAACAAUUUUAAAACAUUAUAAAAUUUUUAAAAAAUAAAAAGUUUCAAAUCCACGGCUCAACCUCAAUAUUGGGCGGGGCAAUAGAAUUGUAACAAACCAAAUCUAAGCUAUCCAAUAAUAUGGUGCCAGGUCCACAACUAAACAACAGAGAUAAAAAGGAAAGAAUCCAGUGUUUCUGAGUACAACAAUAACCACAACCAACCAAUAAAGGAAAGAUACGUAAUUAUUCAUUCUAAUGGUUUAGCUUCAUAACAUUUUAUGUGCUUUUUUUUUAUUAGACAAUUUGAUUAUUUUUGUCUCUUUUUAUAAGAGGGGAGGAGGGAUAUGGUCAUUUGAACACUUGAUUAUUUUUUUUUUAUAUCUUUUUAAUAUUUUAUAUUCUAAUCUUAUAUUGUAUAUUUGCUUUACGAUAAUAAAUAAAUUCCUGAUAUUCUUUCCUUAUUUUAUUUUUAAAAAAAUACUUCUACAUAAACUUUAUGCAAAAGUUUCAAACAAAUCUUGUAAUUGAGUCAUGGAUGCUAUUGGAUUUAAUAAGAAUAUUAUUUUAAAUUUUUUUAUUAAACAUAUAAAUAAAACUUUGAAAAAAAAGAAAAAUUAAGUGAAACAAAUUUAUAACCAGACCAAAUCCAGUUGGGCAGAUCUGACCUAAGAAGCCCAACAUGCACGGGCCAUUAAAAAACCAAGCACAAACACGUGGGCCACUCAUCCGGGCCUCUUUAUUUUUUCCAAAAUUUGUAAGGGGCGGAUCCUUUUUUUUUAUAAACAAAUUAGAUAGAUGACUCAUUAUUUGUUGUGAUUGACAAAACAUUAUAUGUUAGCUUGGAAUCUUAACACCACUUUGAUGGGCGAAAGAUCGAGCCAUAAAAUAUUUUCUCAUAAAAAGUCAUUUUCAACACAUUUUCACUUAAAAAUAUUUAAUAAGCUACCUUUCAACUGGAAAAAAAAAAAAAAAACUCAUCUAUUAACUAACAAAACACAAAAAACAGCCCAAAAUCACUAAAUCAAAUUGAGUAGGAAUUUUUUUUCUUGAUCCAGAUUUGUUUUUUCAUGUAACAUUGAGAUUUAAAAUAACCAUCAUUAAAUUUCUCUCGUUCAACAUACAUAUCCAUUGACACCAAGUUCAAUCUUUUACGUUGAUGAAAUCAAUGUUAAUCUUAAUUUUCUCUCUCUUGAGCCGGAAUCUAAUCCCUCUCUAUCUCCUCUCUAAAGCAAACAUGUUUAAAGCAGGUGUGCAAUUAAAAGAAUUGCCGGAUACAGAUGAGUGGACAAAGAAUCUCACGAGAAUUUCACUUAUGCAUAACCAAAUUGAAGAAAUUCCCUCGAGCCAUUCACCAAGGGGUCCAAAUCUGUCAACCUUACUGUUAAGUUGUAAUUACCACUUGAGAUUUAUUGCAGAUUCUUUUUUUUUAAGCAGUUGUUUGGGCUCAAGGUUCUUGAUCUAUCUUAUACGAAUAUCGAAAAACUAUCAGAUUCUGUCUCUGAUUUGCUGACUCUCACUUCAUUAUUGCUCAUUGCUUGUGAUAAGCUAAGACAUAUACCAUCAUUGAAAAAGCUCAGGGCACUGAAGAGAUUGGAUCUCUAUCGUACUGCACUUGAAAAGAUGCCCCAAGGCAUGGAAUGUCUCUCCAACCUGAGGUAUCUUAAAAUGAAUGGAUGUGGUGAAAAGGAGUUUCCUAGUGGGAUAUUACCAAAACUCUUCUACCUACAAGUUUUUAUACUAGAGGACUUUAUGCCUAUUGCGGGUCAUAUGGAUAAACAAAUACUUGCUCCGGUGACAGUUAAAGGAAAAGAAGUAGCAUGCUUGAGGAAGUUGGAAACUUUAAAAUGCCAUUUUGAUGGUAACUCUGACUUUGUGGAUUAUCUCAUAUAUCGGGAUAAGACCCAAUCGCCAAGAGAAUACAAUUUUUUUGUAGGAGAGUUUGGGUAUGAUGAUUACGAUGUAAAAAGGUAUUAUAGAUGUAAAAGUGUUUGGUUGGGUGACUUGAGUAUAGACAGCGAUGGAGAUCUUGAGGGCAUUUUUCCAAAUGACAUUCAACAGCAGAUGAUUUUUUAUUGUGAUGCUGCAACAAGUUUAUGCAAUGUUUCCUCUCAAAUAAUACGUGCAGAAAAACUAGAGGUCAUCAACAUCAAGGAUUGCAGUAACAUGGAGGGCUUGGUUUCAUCUUCUUUGUUACGUAAAGAGAUGGAGGUUUUGAGGUCAAGCCCAUCUUCUAAAGGCAUAUUUUCUGGUCUUAAGAAGUUCUAUUGCUCUGGAUGUAAUAGUAUGAAGAAAUUGUUCCCUCUUGUCUUGCUGCCAUCCCUUGUAAACCUGGAAGUGAUUGAAGUUAGAUGGUGUGUCGAAAUGGAGGAGAUAAUAGGAACAAGAUCAGAUGAAGAAAGCAGCUGCAGCAGCAUCGAACCCAAACUUCCAAAGUUAAGAAUUCUAUAUUUGACUGAAUUACCAAAACUGAAAAGCAUUUGUAGUGCAGAACUGAUCUGCGAUUCUCUCCAACAAAUUGGGAUAACAAAUUGUCAGAUGCUGAAAAGGCUGGGAAUUCAUCUUCCGUUGCUUGAAAAUGGCCAGCUAUCUCACCCCCCUUCUCUUCGUGUAAUGGAGAUUCAUCCAAAAGAAUGGUGGGAGUCAGUGGUGGAGUGGGAGAAUCCCAAUGCUAAGGAGGUCCUUCGUCCCUUUAUUAUUUAAAUGAUGACUUUGCCCUUGAUGUAAUAUGCUAAGCAUCAUGUUUUUGAAAAAAGACCUUCGUUUGCAGCAGAAGAUAUUGUCAAGUUUUGUCUGGAGAAGAGUCCACUUAUAUUUCCUCGUGCCAACCAAGAAGAUGAAGAAGACGAACUUUUCUAUGAUGAAGCUGCAAUCUACUCUGUCCUUGAUGAAUCAAAAAGCAGAUCCAGAAAUAUUACAAAAUGUAGGUAAGAGGUCUACGUACAUGAUUGAAUUUGUAGUGGAAAAAAAGAUUGAAUCUCGCAGUAGAAACUUUUUAACCAUACACGCAGUACCUCAAAAUAAAAAACAAAUUUAGCUUUCGUAGUAAAGUAGCAGUUAAAUAAAAUAUAUCAAAAUAAUAUAUAUAAAAAAUUAUUUUUAAUUAGUUUUUGUCUCUUUUUGUAAGAGAGGAGGAGGGAUAUAUCUGGUCACAUGAACACUUGAAUUUUUUUUGUCUUGUUAAUAUUUUAUAUUCUAAUAUUAUAUUGCAUAUUUGCUUUACUUUAAUGAACAAAUCCCUUAUAUCCUCUUUAUUUUAUUUUUAGAAUAUAUUUUUACAUAAACUUUAUUUUUUUUUACACCGCAAUAUAUGUGAAAAUUUCAAACAAACCUACGACUUAAGUCAUAGAUUGGGUUUAAUAAGAAUAUUAUUUUAACUUUUGUUUAGCUAAACAUAUAAUAAACACUUUGAAAAAAAAAAAAAAUUAAGUGAAAAUAAAAUUAUAAAAAGACCAAGUGCAGUUGCACAGACCUGCCCUAACAAGCCCAACGUGCAUGAGCCAUUAAGAAACCAAGCACAAACACGUGGGCCACUCAUCUCAGGCCUGCACACUCGAGCCUUUUUAUUUUUUUUAAAAUUUGUAAUGGGCAGACCCUUUAUUUUGAUAAAAAAAAAGUUGGACAAAUGAUUCAUUGUUUUGUUGUGGUUGAUAACGCGUUAUUUGUUAGCUCAAAAUCCUGCCACCACUUUGAUGGGCCGAAGAUCAAGUUACAAAAUAUUUUCUCCUAAAAAAUCAUUUUCAACACAUUUCCACUUAAAAAUAUUUAAUAAGUACCCUUACAACAUUAAAAAAAAAAAAACUCAUCUAUCAACCAAAAAAACACAAAACAAUCCAAAAACACCAUAUCAAUCGAAGUAAGAAUUUUCUUUCUUGAUCUAGAUCUAUUUUUUCAGGCAACAUAGAGACUCAAAAUAACCACUAUCAAGCUUCUCUCAUCGAACAGAUCCCAUCGACAUAAAGUUUAAUUUUUUACGUGGUUGGAAUUAGUAUUAAUCUUGAUUUUCUUUCUCUUGAGUUAGAAUCUAGCUACUUCCUCUCUCUUUUUUUUAACACAAGGACUGAAAAAUAAAGAAAAUAAAAUUUCAUAUCAAAAAUGAAUUUUAAUAAUCUAUAAGGACUAGGAAUGUAUAAUCAGAAAAGUAGGAGAACCAAAGUUAACUUUUUUCACCAUCCAUUCUCUCUCUCUCUUUUUUUCCACUAUCUUUUGAUUUAAUCCUCGCUUAACAAUCUUACUUAAAUUGACACUCAAUUUAGUGCGGAAAGGGCUGAAUUAAAAAAAAAAUAUUGGAACGGAAAACAAAAAAGAAUUCUCGAUUUCUUGAGAUAGAAAAAACAGAACUAUUAUUAAAAUUAAAAAAGAAAAAACUGCACAGGCUUUUACCAUGUACCAGGAGAGAAAACACUAUAGAUUAAAAUAGUCUUUUAUCUCUCAGUUUUUUUUAAUCACUGAUUAUUUUAUUUUUAAUUUUAUCUUUAUAGAUUAUGUUGAUGGAGAUUUGAGGCUGAUAACUUGUUUUAAUUAACGUGUCAAGGAGUUCUCAAGGUCUAUAUAUAAAAAAGGCUUCAACGUUAAGUUAAUUUGACGUUUGACUUGAUAAAAUUUUGUUUAUUUUUUAAUUUAUAGAUUUGAUAUAAAAGAAAAAAAAAGUAAAUGAAAAACUUCAAAAAAGAUAGAAAGUUAUUAGUUGAUAAUUUUCAAACAAAAAAAAAAACGAUCAUCUUUGUGUUAAUGUAAAACUGGUGUGUAGAUUAGAUAUCAAAUCAUACUUAUAGAUCGAGGGCUAAAAAUAUAAAUUUGUAGAAGGGAGUUGGAAAAAUAAUAAUUUCCAUGGGUAUGGAAAAGUGCGAUCAUGAAAUGUUUUUAUUUUACUAUUAUUAAUGUGAGUAUUCGGGUUAGCUUGCACGUAUCUCGACUAAUCUCAUAAAUCCUAAAAUUAACAAUCAUAUAAGUCUCUAAUAAUCUUGAUGUUUGUAGAACUUAAACUGGUAAUUUCUAUAAAACAAAUUUAAAACUUAACUAAUUCAACUUUCACCUCUCGUUAUCAUGAGAUGUUUCGAAAGAGAGGGGUAUGCCGUUUAUUGUACUCCAAACUCAUUGACUGAUGAACCUCUUAAACAAAAGCACACCAUAUACUGUCAAUAAAAAUAGAAAUAUCAAUAAAAGUUUAUCAUGUAAAAGUCAUAAAUUUUCCAUCUUAAUUAAGCAAACUUGAUAAAUCUAAUUACACAAAUCUUACUUAAUACAUAUUAAAGUUUGUGAAGAUUGAAGACCUGGUAUUAAUUUUUGAGUUAUUCUAUAUUAAAUUAUAUUAUUUAAUACACUUAUAAAUAAAAAAUACUUUAAAAUUUUUAAAAAUAACAACAUUCACAUUCCCUUCCGCACUGUCAAAAUCACUCUAAAAGUAGUAGUGUUUUUUUUCCUUGGAAACAGCCUGGAUGCACUUUAAAAGUAUUUUAAUCACAACUUUCCACUCACAUGUCGGAUUGCUGUGAUUCUUGAUAUUGUUGUCAAAAUCGCGAGUUGACUCUUAAAAUCUUAUGAUUUUACGAGUCAACAUGUAUAUAACGUGUCAAAUCGGAUUAAAACUCGAAAUCGGUCAAACUCAGUUAAAAUCGAUAAAAUCGGACCGAUUUUACGAGUUUGACUGAUUUCAAGUUUUAACCCGCAAAAGUUAAUAAAUUUACUUAUGGCAUCUAGAAAAAAUUCUUUUGGUAAUAAGCUUGACGUGGGAUGACAACAUGGUAUAGAUAUUGAUAAGAAUUCUAGAAAAGUUCAGUGCAAGUAUUGUCAAAAAAUUAUCAGUGGAGGUAUUUUUCAUUUUAAACAGCAUUUGGCUUGAAUUGCGAUUUGGAGAUUCAAAUUGAUGAUAUUGGUGUUGGUACUUAGUAGGAGCACUAAUGUUCAUAAUAUUGGUGUUGGUACUAGUAGUGAUACUAAUAAUCAUCUUGAUGCUAAUGAUAUUGAUUAAUGUCUGAGGUAUAAUGAGGAAGAUGAAGGUAAUGAAGUUGGUUUUAGUUUACAUGACACACCAGCAAAUUAUUUGUUUGAAGUUUGUUAAUUAUUAGUUAAUGAAAAGUUGUUUGAAUUAUGUAUGAAUUUUUAUUUGAACCAUAUAUUUUAAGAUGCUUGAACUAUAUAUGAAUUUUUAUUUAAAGCAUGUAUUUUAAGGUGCUUGAACUAUGUAUAAAUUUUUAUUUGAAGCAUGAAUUUUUUUUAAUGUAUUUUAAAAUUCCUUACGAUUUUACGAUCUGUUUUUACGAUCCGAGUUUGUUUUGUAUUUUCCGUGCCGUGUCAAAAUCACGAUUUUAACAACCUUGAUUCUUGAUGCGUUAUCUUGUUUGGGAACCGUUGUUUUCAAAAAUUUGAUUUGUUUUAAUUUUGUUUUUCAUCUUAAACGUAAAAACAGGUGCCAAACAAAUACCUCUCAAAUUAUAAGAAUAUAUUUGCGAUUAUAAUAGCGGUUACGGUUCAAAAUAUUUUUGUUUAGAAAUAUAUUAAAAUAAUAUUUUUUUAAAACAUAAUUAUUUUCAAAAAAAAUAAAAUUUUAAAAAAUGCAGUUAGACAGUGAAGUUUCCUACCGCAAGGAAGCUUCCUCUUAUUGUUUGAAGCUAAUGCUUGAUUGCGUUCGAGGGGUUUCUACCCCCAGAAUAUGAAGUCAUUUUCUAAUUAAGGCUUUCUGCCCUCUCUCAAGUAAACUGAAAAACGACAACAUACAUUUUCUAGCCCAGCAGUGGUUCCACUAGCCUUCUGCUAUCUGCCUAGCUGUGGUAUAAAAACAAUUUUAGUCCAUAUUUGAAGGAAUAGCCUCCUGUUUCUUCAAUCUUCUGCUGCUGUGAUUAUUAAAGCCUAUGCUACCUUGGAAUUGAAUUUCCAAGGUAUGAUGGCGUCAAUCUCCAUAGAUAGUUGACCAAGAAGUGGAGGAAUGCCUUAGAGGACCUGAGACAAUCAAGAGUUGGGCAAGAUGCCAUGGAGGAAGAGGUAUUCCGGAUACUGAGAUUUUGUUAUACGCACUUCAAGGAUUCAGCAUUCCAACAAUGUUUGCUGUGUUGUGCAUUAUUUUCACCAACCAUAUCUCGAAUCCAUGACUAACAACGCAAAAUCGAUGCUAUAAGAACAUUAUAUUUAAACAAGCAUAUUAGAAAACAAAAACAUAUAAACAUGAAUUUCCAAGGUAUGAUGGCGUCAACCUCCAUAAAAUUCAAUAUUUAAAAUAAAAAUCUAAACUUAAAUAAAAUAUUAUAAUUGUGGAGUGUCUAAACAUCUAAUAAAAUAUUUUUAUUCUUAAAAUAUUUGUGGAAAACAAGAAAACUAAUUUAGGGUUUAAUUGAAUAAUUAAUUAAUUCACAUACGAUUUUAUUUUAUUUUUAGUGACAACUAAUUUCAUCAAACACCAAUAACCUGAUUUUUGAUCAUAGGAGUUUGAGACAUGGCCCAUGCUACAACAAUGUUGGGACCACAGUCACAUUGUAACAAUAAUGUUUGGACCAUUUAAGAUUGUACCCUACUACUUCACUCGAACUUUAUUUUGUAUUUAUAAUUAAUAAGGAAAAAGCAUGAUUGGGUUGAAAACCUUUUUAUGCUCGGUCGAAGGCUUUUGGGACUCUAUUUUCACAUAUUGUGGUAUAAAGUAUAUAUUAAAACUGUAUUUUAGAAAUAAUUUUUGUAAUUUUUAAUAUCACCAUAUUAAAAUUAUUGAAACAUUCUUAAAAAAUUAUCAAAUUAAUAUUUUCUAGAGACAAAUUAAAAAAAAAACAUUUAAAAGCUUAAGCGCAUUUCCAAAACCGGAAAACAUCAAAAGAUACACUUAAAGUAGUAGUAAUGUUCUUUUUUCUUGGAAACAGCCUCCACACACUGUAGUAUUUUAAUCAUUACUUUCCACUCUACAAAUUAGCCUCGAACGAGGAUUUCAAAAAAGGAACUCCUAGAAAUUAGCCACAUGGUUAGUUAUUAAAUCUGAGCAGUAAAUUAAAUUUCUAGAGCCGAAUCAAGCCUAACAUGAAUUCAUAGAAAGAAAGAGCGUUUAUUAUUAUGAAAUACUUCUUUUUUAUAUAAUGUGCUUACAAUUACAUAAAUAACAUUUUUCAUUUUUUUUAUUUAUUUCAUUAUCUUUUUAAGACUAUUCAAGAAGAAUCUUCGACGUGACAUAGCACUUUCACCAUAAAUGGAAGGAAUUGCAGAAGCUAUUGCUAGGGAAUGUUCUGGUUUGCCACCGGAAAUUAUUACAGUGGCAGGAAGCUUGAGGGGAGUGGAUGAUUUACAUGAAUGGAAUAAUACAUUGAAUAAAUUAAGAGAAUCAGGAUUUAGGGACAUGAAUGAGAAGGUAUUGAGGGUUAGUUAUGAUCGGCUAGGUGAUUUAACACUACAAAAAUGUCUCUUGUACUGUGCAUUAUUUCCCGAAGACUUUAUUUUCUUGACUUUUUAAACAGCAGCCUGGAUAAACUUAAAGCAAUGUUCUUUUUCUUAGAAACAGCCUAGAUACACUUAAAGUAUUUUAAUCAUAACUUUCCACUCACAUAUCGGAUUUCUGUGAUUCUUGAUGCGUUGGAAAGGUAUCGUAAAGGGCUACAAGUUUAGUCUCUGAUGAAAAAGGAGGACUGCCUACUUUUGAAAAAGGGGGCUGCCUCCUCUGUAAAGAGGGCUAUUUGGCAUAAGAAGACGUGUGGGAAUUGCACUAGAGAGAGGGAAAAAAAGAGAGCACAGAUGAGGAAAGGAAUGACUAAUACAGUGAUGGGUAACUAAAUUGUUCAGAUUUCUAAUUAUUCUAACUCUUUUGUUUUAUCAUUCUCAAUUUGUUGUUGAGAAGUAUUCUUCUCCGAAUUUAUGCAGUUUAUGGAUUCAUUCAUGUUUUUUCUAUUGAAUGGAUUAAUUUUUGGAUCAUUUAUUUACCUGUUUUGAUUUAAUUUCUUUGCUUUUGGGUGGAAUCAGGUUUCUACCACACAGAAUGUGAAAUUAUUUUCUUGAGGCUUUCUGCCCUCUCUCUAGUAAACUAAAAAACGGCAACAUACAUUUUCUAGCAGGCAGGUAACAGUACGCUGGAGAUAUCUACUGCUGCUCAAAGUCCAAACAACAACGGUAUUGCCAACACUGUUAUGCCGCAAUCAAAAAAACAUAAUUGUUUUUAUAUUUAAAAUUAUGUUUGAGUGUAUUUAAAAAUCUGUUUAUCUUGGAAAAUUCUGAAAUUGUUUGAUUUACCGGAACUGAAAAGUAUUUGCAGUGCAAAAAUUGAUUUACAAUUCUCUUAGAGAUAUUACUGUAAUGCAUUGUAAGAAGGUGAAGAGGAUGCCAAUUUGUCUUCUUUUUUAUCUCUCAAUGGAACACUCAUGACAUCAAAUAGAAUAACUUCAAGAAAAACUAAGAACGAAUACGAAGCUUACGAAUACUUAAGAGACAUAUUCUAAAAUUUAGUUUAUUGUUUACCUUUUAUUUUUUAUUUUUUAUUUUGAUCUAAAAUUUUAUUUUAUUUACCUUUAGUUCAUGAGUUUGAGAUGAAAGAAAAAACAAAUCACACAAAAAAAAACUUGGAAGAAGAUAAAAAGUUAUUGAUCGACAACUUUCCGGCAACAAAAACACAUACAGUAUCAAUGGAAAACUGGUGUGCAGAUUGGAUAGCAAAUCAAGCUUCAUAGUAGAUGUUGAAGUUUUCCACUGCAGUGUUGGGUUGGUUGCCAUUAAUGUGCAACAACCAUUGACAAUUGCAGCAGCUGCAGCUAGAGUUGCACCAACCAUGUGCACUCAUCCAAGAUGUCAAAGGUUGGCAGCCACCAUUGUUGAAGAAGAGCUGGAGUUGGCAGCCACCUUUGUUGAAGAAGAGCUGGAAUUAGCAGUCACCAUUGUUGACAAAAGAGCUGAAAGAGCUGCCAUGGAUGCCUAUAAAUAGAGGCAUACAUUAGAGAUCAAAAUGAGAGAGUUAAGAGAAGGAGAGUGUAGAGCCAAAGAUGUGAGAGAUGUAGGAGAGAGUGGGCUGCCAAGGCACCAGCAGUAGCUGCCAUUGCAGCACUGNNNNNNNNNNNNNNNNNNNNNNNNNNNNNNNNNNNNNNNNNNNNNNNNNNNNNNNNNNNNNNNNNNNNNNNNNNNNNNNNNNNNNNNNNNNNNNNNNNNNNNNNNNNNNNNNNNNNNNNNNNNNNNNNNNNNNNNNNNNNNNNNNNNNNNNNNNNNNNNNNNNNNNNNNNNNNNNNNNNNNNNNNNNNNNNNNNNNNNNNNNNNNNNNNNNNNNNNNNNNNNNNNNNNNNNNNNNNNNNNNNNNNNNNNNNNNNNNNNNNNNNNNNNNNNNNNNNNNNNNNNNNNNNNNNNNNNNNNNNNNNNNNNNNNNNNNNNNNNNNNNNNNNNNNNNNNNNNNNNNNNNNNNNNNNNNNNNNNNNNNNNNNNNNNNNNNNNNNNNNNNNNNNNNNNNNNNNNNNNNNNNNNNNNNNNNNNNNNNNNNNNNNNNNNNNNNNNNNNNNNNNNNNNNNNNNNNNNNNNNNNNNNNNNNNNNNNNNNNNNNNNNNNNNNNNNNNNNNNNNNNNNNNNNNNNNNNNNNNNNNNNNNNNNNNNNNNNNNNNNNNNNNNNNNNNNNNNNNNNNNNNNNNNNNNNNNNNNNNNNNNNNNNNNNNNNNNNNNNNNNNNNNNNNNNNNNNNNNNNNNNNNNNNNNNNNNNNNNNNNNNNNNNNNNNNNNNNNNNNNNNNNNNNNNNNNNNNNNNNNNNNNNNNNNNNNNNNNNNNNNNNNNNNNNNNNNNNNNNNNNNNNNNNNNNNNNNNNNNNNNNNNNNNNNNNNNNNNNNNNNNNNNNNNNNNNNNNNNNNNNCCAUCUGAAAUGCGAUUUGGACGAUUUCAGACUUGUUUCCAGCUAAUUUGAUCGUUCCGGAUGCAAUGGUAUGGUCCGAUCGUUGAGGUUUGAGACUGAAAAUGGUGGUGGUGAAUUAUUGAAAGAGAUUGCCCGAUGAAGAAGCAUCUGAAGGUCAUCAUGGUGGUCGACGGAGAUGAAGAAGGAGAAAGUGCACAUGUUUGCCCAAUUACAUGUGCUGAACUGCUAAGUGGGGAGAAAUUUUUAAUUGCCUUGAAGGAAGGAAAAAUUGGGACACUCUGGACACCCGAUCAUGUGGACGAUUUGAGGUGGAGAGUGGAAAUUGAUGAAGACCAAUCUUGACGAAUCUAAGAACUGGUAGUCUCACCAGAUGUUGAGAAAUCAGGUAUAAAACCGGGAUACCCCAGAUCACUUGUAAAGGAAAGCCGCAACAAAGCUAGCAAAUGGUUGUAUAUACAAAAAGGUAGUACGGUGGAUAGAUACGUUCUAAGAAGUUCUGUCUAGGAGAUUGGGUUUUAAGCGGGACCAGUGUGACCCCUCCAAAUCUUUCUUGGGAAAUUGCUUAGUUGAAGGAUCAUCCACACAGUACUAUUUUUGUAUAUGUAAUAGUUUGUAAUGAAACUGUUGAAGACUAGCAAGAUGAUGGCACAAAGGAACAGUUGGGUUCUGUAUGUUCAAGGAUCUGAUGGAGUGGUGAUUUCUCCAAAGAAGUUAGAUUCGGUGACUGUAAUUUCUCGAAGGGAUAAUUAAUGAAGACCCUGAUAAUGGAAGAGAAAUACAACAAGGGGAUAAAGAUUGGCACCCUAUUUUGACUUGGAUAAAUGUUGUGACAGGAUGAGCUGCUGUCAAACAUAAAAGCAAAGAAUAGGGAGAAAUCUGGAGAACCGAAAUUGCACGAGAACACACGAAGAUUGUGCAGGAGUACCCGAAGGAUCCAACGAGGUACUGUAAUGAGACAACAGAUGCAAGGAGAAAAAGAGUUCCCGGAUGAAGCUCAGAGCAGAGACUGUGUGAAAAAGUUGUACAACAGGAAAUCUCUUGUGCUCUUGAUAAAGGCAACAAGCGAGGACCUUUCCAAUGCAUGCAAGGAUGGAAAGAUGAGCUGUUGCAGAAGCACCUAAUUAAAGGGGUGCGACCGCCUAUAGAAAGGCGAAGACACCAAAGAGAGUUGGUGUGGGUGGAGCUAUCAAGCAGAAAGACAUAGAAGCUCCAAACAUAGAAAAUGAGAUGGAGGAUUGCGAAGAGUGCACCGCAACUCUCUCUUUUUAUGUGAUCAGUGGCAGUGAUCUCUCCCAAGUCCACAUGGUGGUAGAGAAUCUUGGAGCCACUGGAGACAUCCCCGAUGAAGGAGGAUGUGACCGCUUUAUGACGGACGGAGACACCUCAGGCAGAAGGUGUGUGGGCCAUGAAACGAGCAUAAGUACAAACCGCCGCAUGACGACAAGCGGAGACACCUCGGAUGGAAGGUGUGAGGACCAUGAUAUGAGUCCAUGAUCAGACCGUCUCAUGACGACAGACGGAGACACCUCGGGAGAAGGUGUGAGGACCAUGAUAUGAGUCCAAGUUCAGAUCGUCUCAUGAGGACAGACGGAGACACCUCGGAUGGAAGGUGUGAGGACCAUGAUAUGAGUCCAAGUUCAGACCGUCUCAUGACGACAGGCNNNNNNNNNNNNNNNNNNNNNNNNNNNNNNNNNNNNNNNNNNNNNNNNNNNNNNNNNNNNNNNNNNNNNNNNNNNNNNNNNNNNNNNNNNNNNNNNNNNNNNNUGAUAUGAGUCCAAGUUCAGACCGUCUCAUGACGACAGGCGGAGACAUCUCGGAUGGAAGGUGUGAGGACCAUGAUAUGAGUCCAAGUUCAGACCGUCUCAUGACGACAGGCGGAGACACCUCAGGAGAAGGUGUGAGGGCCAUGAUAGGAGCCCAAUUUCAGAACGCCCUAAAGACCGAUGUGAUGGCUGGAUAUAAGUGGACAAGUGUAUAGCCAAUGAAGAGGCUAUGAUGAGUAUGGAGACAAAUGCAGGAUUGACUUUCAUGGAUAUUGCCCCCAUGCUAAAGAUCAAUGAGCUAGAAGACAUUUGCCUUGGACAAUAAGUGGGUGACUUGUGGAGCAUUAAGACGCGGCUGCUAUGAAGGAGCAGAGGGCAUGCGUAGGUUCCGGGAACAAGUUGACUCUUGUCAAGGUGGUGAGCUCAGUAAUGACAUUGUAAUACUUAGAGUAUGAAGAUAGAGAUGGAUCAACCUUUAAUGGGCUGUCCCCAUGGUUAAAAGGGAGAGCCACCUGGACUCUUGAGACUAAGAGCGGGAGACUCACGGAGAAGUAAGGCGUGGUUCCUAGGAAGGAACAGAGGGCAGACGCAACUCCGGGAUGAGUAGACUCUUGGAAGAGUGGUGAGCUCGUGAUCACAUUAAAAUACUCAAUGACUGUCGCACUUGGGAAUAUCCGUUUGAGGGGGUGUUGUAAGCCUUGGUGUAAGGCUUGAUAAAUCAUUUCGGGCCAAGCAUGGUUGAUAUGCUUGAAGGGGGAUGUUGUUCCAGAGACAAGUGUUAACACUCUUCAGAUGAGUUGUGACAAACCAUCUGGUUGAAGUGAUCCUUUGGAGUGAGCAAAGGGGUGUUUGGAUGACUCUGGUGAUUGAAAGGUUUGGCAAGUACAUGUAAACUUAGCCACAGACGCUCUCAGAAUGGUAAGCUUGGAAGAGCUGCAGAAUGCAAGCAUGUGCUGAAGAAGCAAGAGGAUAGUUGCCCCACAUGAAUGGCAAAGGGGGUGAUUGUUGGGUUGGUUGCCAUUAAUGUGCAACAACCAUUGACAAUUGCAGCAGCUGCAGCUGGAGUUGCACCAACCAUGUGCACUCAUCCAAGAUGUCAAAGGUUGGCAGCCACCAUUGUUGAAGAAGAGCUGGAGUUGGCAGCCACCUUUGUUGAAGAAGAGCUGGAAUUAGCAGUCACCAUUGUUGACAAAAGAGCUGAAAGAGCUGCCAUGGAUGCCUAUAAAUAGAGGCAUACAUUAGAGAUCAAAAUGAGAGAGUUAAGAGAAGGAGAGUGUAGAGCCAAAGAUGUGAGAGAUGUAGGAGAGAGUGGGCUGCCAAGGCAGCCAGCAGUAGCUGACAUUGCAGCACUGAGAAGAGAGAAAUAGAGUGAGGUUGAGAGUUGCUAAAGAGGGGAUAAUUCCUCCUCUAUUGUUGUAAAUCUUGUUCUCUCCCUAUAUAAUUCAAUGGCUUCUCCCGUGGAUGUAGGCGGUUUGCCGAACCACGUUAAAUAUUGUGUCAGUGUGCUUAGCCUCCAAUGGGCAAAUAUCAGAACAUCACCGGUCGGAAUUCCCUACAUGCAGUACUGAAUCUCCCUCUGGUUGUUUGAAGCUAAAGCUUGAUUGCGUUCCUGGGAUUUUGAUGAUGAGUCUCUAUGAAAGUGCAUUCUAUCACUGGAAUAAAAUGCUAAAAUGUGAAUAAAAAUAAUAGAAAUUAAACAGACAAGUCAAGGCCCCGGAGUCGUGAAAAUUCACUUUGAACCAGCCUCCACACACUUAAAGUAUCUUAAUCAUAACUUUCCACUCACAUAUCGGAUUGCUGUGAUUCUUGACGCGUUGGAAAGGUAUCUUGAAGGGCUACAAAUUAGCCUCUUAUGAGGAUUUCAAAAAAGGAACUCCUAAAGCAUGUACGUGGCUGCCAAAAAAAAGUCCUAAAAUCUAGGCAAUUUGUUUGUGACACAACGGGGAAUUUGUAAAUUUGUUGUCCACUUGCAAAAUUGAACAGAGUUGACAUAAGAAUCCAGAAGUUAUUGGUGACAAAGGAUCCGAGGAAAAGUGAGUUCAACUGUUACAUUUUGUUUAUAUUAUCUUGUUGCACUAAAUCAAGAAGUUUACUAGACUUAUUACUCUGUAAAUUUGCUUUCUGAGUGCUGAGCAUGUGAUUGGAGAGAUUUGAUUCUCAUAUAAUUGUUGCCAGCUUAUUUGUGAGCAAGAAGUAUUAUUGAAUAGAAAUGCUUUCAUUUUUUAUUUUCAGCUUGAAAAUGAAUUGAACAUUUAUUACCUGAGUUUUCUUCUCCAUUUUAUUUAAUUUAAGAAGCAUUUCAUGAUCCUUUUUUUUCUGACUUUAUUAAGUUUUUUCAUGAUAAUUUAUCAAAAAAAUUUAGCAGGAAUCCUGCAGGUCAGAAUUCAUUCCCAUCAAUAAGAUGGAGUAGUAUGAACAAUUUAUUCGUUUAUUUUUGGUUUCUGCUAACGAUUUAUUUCAUGAUUAAUAUCGAUUUAUUUUCACUUUCUAGUAUACCAUUGUUAUUAGUUUGCGGUGUGGCAUAUAAUUUUUUUAGAUCAGUGUUACUUCAAUGGUGGCGUCGAAGUAUACCUUCUGCCAUAAUAUUUAAUAGCAAUUUCUAUGAUAAUCUCAGAAUUUCCAAUCUAGCUUUUGCACCCUUCACAUUUUGAUAAUACCUAGCUUUUAAGUUUUUUAAUAUUUUUUUAUUUUUGACAUCAAAUGAUCCUAAAGCAAAAUAUAUAUAUAUAUAUAUAUAUAUAUAUAUAUAUAUAUAUAUAUAUAUAUUAAUUUAUUUUAUUUUUUUUCAAAAUGGUUGUGAGCAUUUUACCAAUCUGUUGGGGGUGAUGUUGGUGGGCUUGGGCUAGGAGCAUGUUAUUUUUACUCCUGGGCUAUUGGCGAGGCUUGAGACUGCUACCUUUUCUUUUCGUACCCGCGCUGCCCCUCCCUCUCCAAAAAGUCGCUCAAAAUACAGAUUACGAAAUCACAGCUAUUGCUUGGAAUUGAAUGCAUGAGUUGAAACCGUCGGAGAACACCAGGCUAAGCUCCAAACUCAUCGCCACCGGCAUGCUCUCCAGCAUAAUUCAAAACAGUUUUCUAAAUUUUACAUUCUAUUUGUGUACUCUAAUUUUUCUCCAAUAUCUCUUAUCAAAUGGGUUCUGCUCUUAGAUGGUAUGAGCGAGACUUUUGGCAUACAGAAGCUGGGAGUUCCUGUCCAAGUUAAGGGAUGCAAGCUGAUUCCUACAAACCGAUCAGAAAAGAUUUGUCUAUAGAUGAAGUUUUCUAUUUACUUUGCAACAACCCUUAGCAUUGACAAUAUUAUUCUCUCUGUAAUUCAGUCGGUAUAUACUCAUAAUAUUAUUCUGUCGGUAUAUACUGACAGGAUUACGGAUGAAAUAGUAUCCGUUGGUAAUUAUCACCGCAAUUUACCGACAUAAUUAUUUCAUCGGUAAUUCCAUUGGUUUUAGACGAAUUUCUGAUAGUGAUGUUGAGUAAUUCGUAUGAAAUUAUCGGAUUGAUUGUUUAUUAAAGAGAAUAGCCGGAUGUUGAAUAAUUUAUAUGGAAUUACCGGAGUUAUUGGCUAUUAAGAGUAUAGCUGGAUGUUGAGUAAUUUGUAUAGAAUUACCGGAUUGAUUGGCUAUUAAAGAGAAUAGUUAAAUGUUGAGUCAUUCGUAUGGAAUUACUGGAAUUUAUUUCACUAUGAAAGAGAAUAGAUGGAUGUUGAGUAAUUCAUAUGGAAUUACUGGAAUUAUUGGCUAUUAAAAAAGAUUAGUCGGAUGUGGAGUAAUUUAUAUGGAAUUACCGGAUAUUUAUUGGCUACCAAGAAAGAUUAGCCGGGUUCGAGAUAAAUUUUAUGAAUUAUCAAAUUUAAAAUUAAGCAAUAAGUGUUGGUUGUUGAUUUCCUCUAAGUUUAGGAUUGAUAAAAUUAUGAAUGGCCUUUUGAUAUUGGAAUGCAGUAAGUAAGUUAGUGAUGAAAGGUAAUUUUAUAUAUUUUAAAGAAUUGCAAACAUAACUAGGUAUUUCAUGAGAUAUUUCUAAAGUGUUGGUUGAUCUAUUCCAUUGUCGGUCCUGCUUUGCCAGCAUCAGUCCUGCUUUGCUCAACCAUUAUUUGCCCUCGGGAUGUUUAAUCUGAGGCCCUUUUUGAAUUGUUCUGGCAGCGUGCUAAUAGCCUACUGCAUAUGGUUGCUCAGUUCGAUCUCAGUGCUUUUAGGUUUUGCUCAGUUCAUGUUAUGACCCGCGGCACCGCGCGGGCCAUUCACCUAGUACAUUCAAUUUGUGUACUCUAAUUUGUCUCCAAUGUCUCUAACCCCUUGUCAAAUACUGACAUGUAAACUGCUUGCAUGGUUAUCAAUAUCUUUCAAGUGAGUGUUGGAUAUAUAGCUUAAGAUAAAAAAAAAUUUCCGUUUUUAUUUAUUUUUCAUUUUUUUUCUUAAUGUUUGAGAAAGAUGCCUACAGAUGGGAAUGAAUGGACUGAUUCGAAAUCUUCUUCUCUUGAAAGGGAUGGCAGAUAAGCUAAUGAUGUUGGGUGUGAUGGAGAUUCAUCUCAACCAACAGAUCCAUUGUGUCUUGACCAUGGAAGAUAUAUAUAUAUUAUGAUCAACUCUGUGCUCCAUCGCUAAACAAAGAUGUCAUUAUGUGUGAUGUGCAGAACAUGGUGGAAAUGAAAGACGUAUUGGUCUGAAUAUUUCUAAUGAAGAUGAGGAGCUGCAUAGACUUCUGAUUUUAGACAUACAAAAGCUGAUUCUUACAAACCGAUCAGACAAGAUUUGUCAAUGGAUGAAGUUUCCUAUUUACUUUGCAACAACCCUUAGCAUUGACGGGGGAGGAGUGAGAGGCAUCAUUCCUAGCCUAGUCCUUGCCGCUCUUGAAGCUAAGCUCUAGCUAGGUUCUUGCAUAAAAAACUUACGCAGCGUGGGCCACUUUUCUUGGCUUUUUGCUCAGAUGAUUUUUGGGUUUUUUUAAAAAAUAUUUUUCAUGUGUUUACAUUUUCUUGGCAGCUUCUUCGAAGUUUCAACAUUGGGGUGGAUCCACACGUUAACUUUUCAUAUCUUAUAAUAUAAUAUGGAGAAGUGGUGGUUUUUUUAUAAAAAAAUAUUGAGACAUGGAGAAACAGACGACCAUACAAUAAGAGUCGGGAGGCCGAAUGUAUUGGGGAAGCCACCUCUCUGUUAAAAAAAAGGCAUAAGCGUGUGCUCCUGCGGAGAAGGAGAAGAACGGGACCUGCGGCUGAAAAGAAGAAGGAAAUGGGGGCGCCGGCUGGAAUGGGAAGAAGAAGGUGCUGGAACAAGGCUUAGGGAGGUGACGAGGGAGAAGAUUGUGUCAGUUUUGGGAGAGAAAAUGGAGUGGGGAGCAGCUGUGGAGAGGGGAAGGAAAAUGGUGAAAUGGCGUGGAGGAAAGGUUGAAGAUGAUGCUGCCGUGGCUGUGUCGAGAGGAGGAAGCAACCGGAAAUUAAAAAGGGGGGGGGGGCGGCUGUAAGAAGAAGAAGAUUAAGAUUUUUUAGGGUUAGGUUUUUUUUUUUUUUUUUUUGUCAAAAUUGCCCCCCUUGCUUAGCUGAAAAUGAAGGCUAUUUAUAGGCAAAAUAGUUUUUUCGGGCUUCAAAAUUGGUCCCUCAAGUUUUGUGUUUGGCCCCCUAAUUUCAAUCAAUUCACUUGGUAAAAAUUAAAUUGGGUCUCUUAAAAUUCUGAUUUUUUAAUUAAGUCCAAAUUAAGCCCCCAAACUUAAUUUUUCACCAAUUAAGCCCUCAAAUUAAUUUGACCCGCUUAAAGUAUAAUUAAGUCCUUGCACUUAAUUAAAUCCUUCAAUUGGACCCAAAUUAAUUCUUGAACAUAAUUAAAAUUCAAUUUGGCCCAUGAUUAAAUCAAAUUGGCCCAUUAAAAAUUUAAUUAUGUCAUUGGACUUAAUUCUUAUGCAAAUUCGUCCAAUAAUCAUUUAAUUUGACCUUUGAAUUUGCAUUUUUUCUAUUUUUGGGCGUAACAGCGUACACUUGGGCCUUGAGAUUCUUCCGAAAAUUGCAUCUUGAUUUUCGCCUAUUUUGCAGCCUUUCUUGGUCGGCUUUCUCCGCAUUUCCAGCCUUUAUUAUAUUUUUUAUUUUUUAUUUUUUUUGGGAAAAAAAUGAAUUUUGGGGAAUCACCCAAAAUUGGGUGAUGACAAUGUUUUUUUUGUUUUUUAUUUUUUAAUUGAUUGUUUUUAUUUUAUCUUUUAAUAUCGAAUUGAUUUGAAAAUAGACUAUAUUAUUUAUUUUUAUUUGCUUUCUAUAGAAUUAUCAAAGUUCUAAAUAAAUAUUGAAUUUAUAAAAAUAUUUUCAGCCAAUGAUUUUUGUAAAAAGUAAAGCCAUGUUUUACUGGUCUUCUAAGUUAAUUUUAAAUCUAUAAAAUCAAUCAAUUUAAAUUAUAUAGUUUAAUUAAAGAUUUGAAUUAGAUAAAAAGCUAAAUAAAGAGAUAUUAAUAAUAUUGCCAACAAACUUUUUUCACUCUAAACAUUCUUUUUUUAUAUUUUUUUUAAAAAAUUAAUCCAGCACGGAAAAACACUAGGUUUUGUUCAUUAAAAGUAAGGAUGGAGUCUUUGACCGCGUGUGCCUCUAAUCAGCAACAGAUUGGUAACGGCAACGAUUGAAAACCUUUAAUUUGUCUUCUAAUUUUUUCCCUAUUAGUAAUUGUUACGUAAUCAGAUUCGCUUCAUGUUCAAUAAUUGUUUUUUAUUUUUUUAAAUUUAUUUAUUUUAUUUUUAAUAUCAAUAUAUUUAAAUUAUAAAAAAAUCUAUUUAUCUUUUUAAAAAAACAACUAAAAACAAAAGCAAUCACCUGCUCUUAAUUAAUCACAUAUCUAAUAUUUAAAAACAUUGUUAAAGCACACGUUUUUCAAAAACUUUGAAUUUUUUUUCUUUUUGAAUUUUUUUUUUUUUUAUGAAUGAUGAAAAUAUUCCUUUAAAUCAACAAGGAUAUUUUUAUUAAUUAAUAUUAAAAUUACUUGCAUGAUGCUUUUGGGUUAAAGAUGCUCAAUGUUUGGAUUUGGGUCGGUUUGAAAUGGUAUUGCCGAUUCCAUAUUUCAAAGAAAAAUCGAAGCCUAACAUGAAUUCAUAGAAAGAGCGUUUAUUAAUAUGAAAUAUUUCUUUUUUAUAUUGUGUUCUUACAAUUACAUAAAUAACAUUUUUCAUUUAUUAAUUUAUUUAUUUCAUUAUCUUUUUAAGACUAUUGAAUUGUCAUAUUUUUUUUAAACUCGAUAGAUAAAUAAUUAUAAUUUGAAGUUUGAUUAAUAUUAUAUUUUCAUCCUAUUGAGUUUCUCCAAGAUAAAAAUCCAAAAAAAAACACUAUAUUGAUUUAUCAUUGAAGUAACCUAAUAAAAUAACAUAUGUAUUCACCAGUACAAAUCAUCUUAUAUCAUUAAAUAGCAAUAAAUUAUUCUUUUAAAAUAUAUAAUACAGAUUAAAAAAAUAUCGAAGUUUUCUACUAGGGUUGAUGAUGAAUCUCAAGGUUGAAUUGGUUCUUAUGAAGUUUUCUACUAGUGCUAAGUUAUGAGUUCAAGGAAGAGAGACAAAAAGUGAAAGGGACAAUUGUGUCGAUUGUUCUCUUGAUCUGAGCUUAUUCUGUAUCAUUUUGUUGGUUGCAUUAAUUAUACCUUCACCUCCAUACGCAACUCCUCUUCAUCUCUUAAUGUUAAUAAAAAUGUAAGAAUUUAGGAACAUUUUCACAAUGAAGAUUAAUUCAUCUCCAUAGCAGAAUACAGGAAAUAGAAAAUUAAAUCAAUAAAAGUAAGGUAUUUUAUCGCCAAUGAAUUCAUCUCUUCGAACAUUCUUGAAUUCUGGUCAAUUCAAAUCACAACAAACAUCGUAAACAUGUCAGAAGUAUUCCUCUACCACAGCAGUGAGAAGAUCAAAUGAGGAAGGCUAAGAUUCUUUAUUAAAUGAACUGAACAUACAUUUUUCUGUUGGAUGAGUUUUGGUUUCUAAACGUGAAACUGCCAUCGUAAGCACUAGCUAAGGAAGUUAGGAUAAGCUUUUCUGGUAAUUAUAUCACAUUUUUCUGCUACAAUAAUGCUCUUUAUAUUCUCUGCUACUAUUGCUUAUAAUCUUUUGCCUCUGGUAUCUUUUCCAACCUGUUUGAGGGAUGUUUUCAGGAGUUGAACAGAGUUGACAUAGAAAUCCAGGAGUUAUUGGUGACAGAGGAUCUGGAUCCUUUUCGAGGGAAAGUGAGUUCAACUGUUACAUUUUGCUUACAUUAUCUUGUUGCACUAAAUCAAGAAGUUUACUAGACUUAUUACUCUGUAAAUUUGCUUUUUAAGUGCUGAGUAUUUUAUAUAAUCAUGUAAUUGGAGAGAUGAUUCUUAUAUAAUUGUUGCCAGCUUAUUUGUGAGCAAGAAGUAUUAUUGAAUAGAAAUGCUUUCAUUCUUUAUUUUCAGCUUGAAAGUGAAUUGAACAUUCAUUACCUGAGUUUUCUUCUCCAUUUUAUUUGAUUUACAAAGCAUUUCAUGAUUUUUUUUCUGACUUUAAUAAGUUUUUUCAUGAUAAUUUUAGGAGUCCUGCAUGUCAGAAUUCAUUCCCAUCAAUAAAAUGGAGUAGUAUGAACAAUUUAUUUAUUUAUUUUUGGUUUCUGCUAACGAUUUAUUUCAUGAUUAAUAUCGAUUUAUUUUCACUUUCUAGUAUACCAUUGUUAUUAGUUGCGGUGUGGCAUAUAAUUUUUUUAGAUCAGUCUUACUUCAAUGGUGGCGUCUAAGUAUACCUUCUGCCAUAAUAUUUAAUAGCAAUUUCUAUGAUAAUCUCAGAAUUUCCAAGCUAGCUUUUGCACCCUUCACAUUUUGAUAAUACCUAGCUUUUAAGUUUUAUAAUAUUUUUUUAUUUUUGACAUCAAAUGAUCCUAAAGCAAAUAUAUAUAUAUAUAUAUAUAUAUAUAUAUAUAUAUAUAUAUAUAUAUAUAUAUAUAUAUAUAUAUUUUUUUUUUUUCAAAAUGGUUGUGAGCAUUUUAUCAAUCUGUUGGGGGUGAUGUUGGUGGGCUUGGGCUAGGAGCAUGUUAUUUUUACUCUUGGGCUAUUGGCGAGGCUUGAGACUGCUACCUUUUCUUUUCGUUCCCGCGCUGCCCCUCCCUCUCCAAAAAGUCGCUCAAAAUACAGAUUACGAAAUCACAGCUAUAGCUUGGAAUUGAAUGCAUGAGUUGAAACCGUCGGAGAACACCAGGCUAAGCUCCAAACACAUCGCCGCCGGCAUGCUCUCCAGCAGAAUUCAAAAUAGUUUUCUAAAUUUUACAUUCAAUUUGUCUACUCUAAUUUUUCUCCAAUAUCUCUUAUCAAAUGGGUUCUGCUUUUAGAUGGUAUGAGCGAGACUUUUGGCAUACAGAAGCUGGGAGUUCCUGUCCAAGUUAAGGGAUGCAAGCUGAUUCUUACAAACCGAUCAGAAAAGAUUUGUCUAUGGAUGAAGUUUCCUAUUUACUUUGCAACACCCUUAGCAUUGACGGGGGAGGAGUGAGAGGCAUCAUUCCUAGCCUAGUCCUUGCCGCUCUUGAAGCUAAGCUCUAGCUAGGUUCUUGAAUAAAAAACUUACGCAGCGUGGGCCACUUUUCUUGGCUUUUUGCUCAGAUGAUUUUUGGGUUUUUUUUAAAAAUAUUUUUCAUGUGUUUACAUUUUCUUGGCAACUUCUUCGAAGUUUCAACAUUGGGGUGGAUCCACACGUUAACUUUUCAUAUCUUAUAAUAUAAUAUGGAGAAGUGGUGGUUUUUUUAUAAAAAAAUAUUGAGACAUGGAGAAACAGACGACCAUACAAAUAAGAGCCGGGAGGCCGAAUGUAUUGGGGAAGCCACCUCUCUGUUUUAAAAAAAGCAUAAGCGUGUGCUACUCUUCUCGGUCAACAAUCACAACUUUUUUAUUUAUUUUGGCAGAUUAGAGUGUACGGACCAGAUUACGCGCACCACAAUUAAUUUCUGAAUCCACUAAAUACCUUGCACGUCCAGUAAAUAAGUAAGAUACACAAUUAAUUUCUGAAUCCACUAAAUACCUUGCACGUCCAGUAAAUAAGUAAGAUACUAGAAGGAUAAUAAAUAUACAUGCUGAGUCUCAAACCCAUGUUAUAGAAGCAAGAAAACUUUAUCUCUACUGCUUGCCAGAAGGCUGGUGCAACUAUUUUCUUUCUUAAACCUUACGCAGCAGGGGCCACUUUUCUUGGCUUUUUGCUCAGAUGAUUUUUGUGUUAUGGCUUUUAUUAUUAUUAUUAUUAUUAUUAUUAUUAUUUCAGAAAACUAUCCUGAACUGGAAAAUAAAAUGGAGUUGCUCGCCUCGCAACAUGUGAUACUCGUAGGGCUUAAGUGUAACCAGAUUCACUGAUCAAUAAAGAAAAUUAUCAUUGUAACAAUUUUUUUAAAAUAUUUGUUAUUAAAAAAUAUAUUAAAAUAAUAAAUUUUUUUAUUUUUUAAAUUUUUUUUAUAGCAACAGGACAGUAUAUAAAUAUAAAAUAAUCAAAUUUAAAUAAAUAAAAUAAAAUUUAACCAAUACCCAUUUAAAACGAAAUAGCAAACUGGGAUUAAGAAACACAGAAUUAAUCAAAUAGUAUUUUGGAUAAUGAUAAUUUUGUUGGGCCACAGAAUUAGGUCACUGAAGAACUUUUUAGUAAAGGAUUAAUUACUAUGCUCUUAUCCACACAAUCCUUCAUCACCAUCCAAUCCCAUCACUGGAGAACUUAUCCUCUUUGAUCUCAAUGCCCUUCUGCCAUCCCCAAAUAUAAGCUUUUAUCCCUUUUCCUUUGUAUUUUGUCGUUUGUGUCUUUGUCCACUGGCUCAAGGGUGUUUAGUAAUUCUAUAUACGGUUUUUUAAAAAAUAUUUUUUAAAUAAAAAUAUAUUAAUAUAAUAUUUUUAAAAUUUUUUUAAUACUAAAACAUUAAAAAUAUUUUUUAAUCUAUUACAUACAAGCAAGCUGAUACAUAAUUCCCACAUUAAAAAAAUAUAUUUAUUAAUAAAGUGUUUGGAGUUGUUUUUUAAAUUAUUUUUUAUUUAAAAAUACAUUAAAAUAAUUUUUUUUAUUUUUUUAAAAUUAUUUUUAAUAUCAUCAUAUCAAAAUAAUCUAAAUAAAUUAAAAAAUAAUAAUUUAAAAUUAAAAAAUAAUAAUUUAUUUUCAAAAAUACUUUUAAAAUAUAAAAAUAAAACACAAACCCUAACCUCGAACCCAACAUCAUUUCUUUCUGUACAUUUUGCGUGUGUUAAAGGACGCUCCUAAGGCCACGCUCAUAACAGGACGGUGGAUGAUUACGACCAGAACAAGGGUUUAGCAAGGAUCGGAAGAGGGACAGGAGGGUUUAGAGGACACGUGUCAAGUCUUACCAUAAAGGUUAGAAGGUGAUUCAUGAGAUUAAGCUCGUCCUUUGAACCAGCCGCCAUCUUUGACCCUCUCCUCUGGAAUAUUACUACGGACCACAAUAUGGAUCCUCUUUUUUUUUUUUUUUUUUCCUGUUUCGGAGUCUAUUCUGAACUCUUGUCAGUCUUGACACCUUUCGCUCUCUCCCUUUCCCACCACCUUAUUCAAUUAUUCAAUUCAACUGGGAAUCUGCUACGAGUUAGAUUUUAAGUCUAGAUUUUGACUUAUUAUAUGUUUUUUAAGUUGAUUUUUUUUUUCCAUUAAUAUCUUUCCUUACAGUAAAUAAAAAAACAUAUUUCAUUGUUCUUUUAGAAGAUAUUUGGAAUCAUUUGCUGGAUCUAUUUUCUGUUUUUAUUUUCAAAUUUUGAAAUGACUCCUCAGGAAACAAUUCCAACCAAUUAUUUGUCAUGGAAUUUGGAGGCUGUCUAAUUCCAAGUGGGCAUGCUGCAUUUCUUAGCCAGGUGGAGCAAGAAUUGAGGGAGCUUGUUUCUGGCUUUUGCUUCUCUGGGUAUGAUUUGUUGUGUUUUUGUUUUUUCUGCUAAUUUAUCUAAAUAUAAACUUUAGAAUCUUUUAAAUGAAACUAGCGUUCUUGAUUUCUAGGUGGUAGAUAUAACAAUAAUAUUAUUAAAAUAAAAAUAAAUAAAUAAAUAUGAUCAGACUUUUACCAUGUAGCAAAAGAGAAAACAUGACGUCUCUCUGUUUUUUUUAAGCAAUUUUGUUUUUAAUUUCAUUAUAAUAAUUUAUUUCAAUAAGCUUAGCAUGCUUAUUAUGAAGCUCUCACAUAAUAUUAUUAAAAUUGCAAAUUAACUUUUAAAAUUUUAUGAUUUUAUGAGUUAAUAUGUAUAUAAUAUGUCAAAUCAAGUUAAUAUGUAUUAAAUUAUAUAUUUUUUUAAUAUUUUUAAAUUAUUUUAAUGUAUUAAUAUCAAAAAUAAAUUUUUAAAAAAAUAUUAUUUAUAUAUAUUUUUAAAUAAAAAAUACUUUAAAAAUCAAUCUCAUUUCAAACGGCAGUGCCCUGUACCAAACUAUAUUAUCAACAAGAUUUUCCUCGUAUGAAUUAAACCAUUCUGCAUUUGACACAACUUGAAAAACAUGUUUCUUCUUAAAUUAUUAUUUCCACGUGUUUUUUAAAAUCUGAAUAUUUGAGAAAUGGUGGGGUUGAUUUUGUUAGCUUGAUAUGCUUUCGUCUUUGCUUUCCAUUUUUUUCUUUUUGGUUACUUUUGUAUGCUUUCCUCUGUUGCUAAUAUCCACCUCAGCAAGUAGCAUCUAGUUAUAAACACCUUGGGUAUAUUAGUAAAAUAGAAAAACAUUCAUUAUAAUAAAAAUUUUAUGGUUAAGUAAAAUCACUCUGAUCUAAUAUAUACACUCAAAAAAAUAAUAACUACCCAACACAUCUUAAAUCUUGUUUUUUUUACAUUUUAAAAAUACUUUUAAAAAAAUUCGAAUGUCAGAACUGGUUUAUCUUUAUAGUCAUAAUGUGUUAUUUAAAAAUAAAAAAUUUAAAAAUAUUAUUUUAAUAUAUUUUUAAAUAAAAAAAUUUACAGCAUGCAUAAAUAUACUAUUCUUUUUUGAAAAUCUCAUGUGUUUACAAUUUCUUGGCAGCUUCUUUGAAGUUUCAACAUUGGUGCGGGUCCACACGUUAACUUUUUAUAUCUUAUAAUAUAGUAUGUGUGUUUGGUAUGGAGAUGUGGGAAUUUGAGGUUAAUAAUUUAUUUUAAUUAAUUAUAAAGUUCUCAAGGUAAAAAAAACAAAAAAAGCUUCAACGAUUAAUUUAAGUUGGUAUUUGAUUUGAUAAAAUUUUAUUCAAUUUAAUUCAUUAAAAAUAAUUGAAACUUUGAACACCAAAUAUGAUACUGAAAUAAAAAAGCAGCCUGUUGUGUUUUUCAAAAUUCUGUUCCCUAGAGUUUUUGCAUUUUUCAUUUUAAUUUUAAUUCAAAAUUUUAUUUUAUUAAUUUUUUAAUUAUGAAUUUGAGAUAAAAAAAUCACUAAAAAACUCGGAAAAAAUGGAAAAUUAUUGGCCGACAAUUUUAGCAACAAAAAAACACGAUCAUCUUUGUAUUAAUAGAAAAUUAGUGUGCAGAUUGGAUAGCAAAUCAUACUUUAUAGGUCGAGGGCUAAAAAUAUAAAUUUGUAAAAGGGUGGUGGAAAAAAAAUAAUUUCCAUUGGUGUGGAAAAGUUCAGAUAUACUAUUAUAGAAUAAGAUAAUGUUUGAUGGUGUAAUAAUUAUUAUUUUUUAAAUUAUUUUUUAUUUAAAAAUAUAUUAAAAUAAUAUAUUUUUUUAUUUUUUAAAAUUUAUUUUUAAUAUUAAAAUGUCAUAGAUUAAGAGAGGCGUUUUAUUUUUUUUAAAAAUCAAAAUAAUAUUAUUUUAAUAAUUGUUUAUUAAAAAAUUAAAGAAUUAAAAGCUAGUCAACCGAGUUAAGAAAUCAACUUAGAUUCUUGAUUAAAUCAGCUGAUGACCCGUUAACUUUGGCAGGUAUAUAUUAAUUUAUUUUCUUGGCAGCUUUUUCGAAGUGUGAACAUUGGAGCGGGUCCACACGUUAACUUUCUAUAUCUUAUAAUGUAAUAUGUUUGGGUUGCUUCCUGGCAACUUCCUUCCUUCCUAUCAAACAAUACGAAAAUUAACUAUUAUUGAGGCGACCUUACUAAUAAAUAAUAGUAUUUGUAACAUUCGCUAGCGGCUGUAACAUUCGCUUCCACAUCUCCUCUCAUUAUACAAUUCCCUAUUUACCUUCCUUAUUAGGUAAUCCAGCUAGCACUUGAAGAACAUCUUGAAUCCAGGUAAAUUAAUUGUACUUCAUCUUGUCUGAAUCUUUAAAGUAAUCCAUGAUAAAUUAAUCGAUCUUUUUCUCAGAUUUUGUAAUCCAUGCCCUGUGGUGUUCAUACUGAUUAUAUUAACCCUAAACGUUGAAUUCAUUGUUUUUGUCUUUUCAAGAUUCUUUGCUGUUUUUAACUCCUUACAUAUGGGAUUUCUUUUCCAAUACUAGAUUUUGUAAUCCAUGCCCUGUGGGACUGCCAUUAAUUAUUUUUAUCCAAUAUUUUUCUGACAUAAUGAUUCAAUGAAGUUGUUUUUUACUGAUUCAUGAAUUAACUUGAUCAGUAUUAAUUACCUUUCAUUAAACUUGUUUACAACAAGUGACAAAUAAUUUAGCAUUAAAACAAAGAAUUAAAUAAUUAACAGCAACAUUUAUAUUUCCUAUUUUUCAUCCGAAUUUCUUUAACAACUAUAUAUAUAUAUAUAUAUAUAUAUAUAUAUAUAUUCUUAUCUAAUCUGUGCUUUCUGUUCUUUUUUAAACCUCAGAUGGAAGGAGUCCCACCGUCUUGUAAUGAGGAUGAUGUCAACUUGACAUCGAAUCAGUUCGAUUUUCAAUCACCAGAAGAUUCAUUCAAUAUUUCUGAGUUUCUCUUGUACGUCAUUCUUAAGCAUAUUUUAUCAGAAGAUGAUUACUUGCAAUUUAGUUAUUCUACGGUUUAUCCUAUAUAUUAUUCCAUGGAAGCAGGCCGGCAGACAACCAAGGCUCCAUAUCAUGCAAUGAUCAAGGUGGACAGACAACUGAUCAGUUUCCACCUUCAUUUCCUCAAACCAUGGUGAGUGCUCAUGCUACAACUGAUCAAGGUGGACAGACAACUCCACUUUGCUACAAUGUCCAUUGAAUUAGCAAGUGUUUGUAUCACCCAUUGGAUCAAAAAGUUUUUAUGUUUUCGUGUAUCAAUUUAUCUCGAGCAUCUUCAAAAUGUUUAUUGUUAAACAAACAGACAACAAUGGGAGAUUUAGAUGGAACAUCAUCGUCAUGGAUCAACCAAAAUGAACCAAAUUGGCCUCAAGCUCCAUCAAGGUACAUAAUAUUCAUCAUUAUUUAACUUCUUCUUCUUGUUCACACUAAAUGAAUUCAUUAUGUUUGAAUAUCAAAUGCUUAGUGGAUUAAUAGCAAAGAAUUAUGCAUAUGUAUAAAGAAAUCACUAACAAAUGUUGCUAAUUUAGGGACCAACAAUGGACUGAUUAUCAGUUACCAAUUAUGAGCAAUCAAGUGCCUGCGAUGAACCAAUGGUAUUAACCUCGAAUAUACACUUUUUUAAUCAUGAAAACAACAAACUUGACCAAAAUUGACGAGGAUCUUUCAAGUCUUUUUGAGCUCUCUAUCUCUUUUUUUUUUUUUUGCACAUAAUGGAACUAGAAAAUCAACCAAGUGAGCAUAACAGUUCUAAGUUUAACUAUUUGAAUAUUAUUCAGGCAUCAGAACUCCAAUAUUCCUCAACCUUAUCCGAGACAUGGCUAUAUAACACCGAACGCAACCACUUCACAACAUGGUGGCUUCAAUCAACCUGGACCUUCUUUUCCUGCUCCCCGGUAUCCAAUUUUUCAUGUUUAGUAUUUUCUUUUAAGAAAAAAGAAUUUAGUUUUUCAAUCAGGAAAGAAACAUCAUAGCUUGAACAUGAACCCACCAAGCUAAACAUAAGUUUGUAAUGCUUCAUAUUGUCUGCGAAUGAUUUUGGAUUCAGGAUUCAACAUUUUCCUAAUCAAGGACAAGUCGAUCAAGCUUUUGCAAUUCCUAAUAUAGACAAUAUGCAACAGGAGAACUUCGUGCCUCAAAACUUUGACAACUCUACUAGGUACUGAUCAAACUUUGGCAAUAUAUAUGCUGUCGUGUUUUAACACAGUAUUAAUACCUUUUUGAUAAUUAGAUACACCAUUGAUUUUUAGUGCUUAAGAGAGACUACCACUUAUCGAAAGGUUUAAUAAUAUCAUCACUUCAUUUAUAUAUAGGUCACAGAUGGAUAACCUCCAAGUCCGAGGAUUGCAAAAUCAAACUGCUACGCCAAAUGCCUCGAAUCCUGGCCUUGGCACUUCCCUGCAAAGUCAAAAUAGGGGUUUAAAUACUCAACAAGUAAGAAGUAUAACUGAAUUAUCAUCGUCUUUUUCCCUCCUAUGAUUGUGCAAUAAACUAACUAUCAAUUUUAAUAGCAAAAUAAGGGUAACAACACUGAAGAAGUAGUUUCUCAUCCAUCUGGAUAUGGUGUAACUUGCAUCAAUUUUUAUUCUUUAUUUUGACCUACCUUUUUUUUAUAUAGGUUGAAAUGGUUAGAUCAAAGGAUCCAUUUUGGAAUUAUAUUGAAGAUAGGACUGAUGGUAGCAUGAAGUGUACGUUUUGUCCACAUACAUUUGCCAAUAAAACCUCCAUUUCAAGGAUCAAAUGGCAUUUAUCAGGAGAGGAAGGGCAUAAUGUUGCCAUUUGUCUUGGGGUGCCUAAAGAAGUUCAAGAAGCAGCCUUUCUAGCUGCUUACAAAAGACAGAAAAUCACAGCAAGUUCAGCCAAUGUUAAUGAUUGUGGAAUUUCAACUUGUCCACAGGAACAAAACAUUGAGAUUAACAUGGUAGGAGUAGGGGAACAGAGGAUUUCUUCACAGCAAUAGCAGGAAACGACNNNNNNNNNNNNNNNNNNNNNNNNNNNNNNNNNNNNNNNNNNNNNNNNNNNNNNNNNNNNNNNNNNNNNNNNNNNNNNNNNNNNNNNNNNNNNNNNNNNNNNNNNNNNNNNNNNNNNNNNNNNNNNNNNNNNNNNNNNNNNNNNNNNNNNNNNNNNNNNNNNNNNNNNNNNNNNNNNNNNNNNNNNNNNNNNNNNNNNNNNNNNNNNNNNNNNNNNNNNNNNNNNNNNNNNNNNNNNNNNNNNNNNNNNNNNNNNNNNNNNNNNNNNNNNNNNNNNNNNNNNNNNNNNNNNNNNNNNNNNNNNNNNNNNNNNNNNNNNNNNNNNNNNNNNNNNNNNNNNNNNNNNNNNNNNNNNNNNNNNNNNNNNNNNNNNNNNNNNNNNNNNNNNNNNNNNNNNNNNNNNNNNNNNNNNNNNNNNNNNNNNNNNNNNNNNNNNNNNNNNNNNNNNNNNNNNNNNNNNNNNNNNNNNNNNNNNNNNNNNNNNNNNNNNNNNNNNNNNNNNNNNNNNNNNNNNNNNNNNNNNNNNNNNNNNNNNNNNNNNNNNNNNNNNNNNNNNNNNNNNNNNNNNNNNNNNNNNNNNNNNNNNNNNNNNNNNNNNNNNNNNNNNNNNNNNNNNNNNNNNNNNNNNNNNNNNNNNNNNNNNNNNNNNNNNNNNNNNNNNNNNNNNNNNNNNNNNNNNNNNNNNNNNNNNNNNNNNNNNNNNNNNNNNNNNNNNNNNNNNNNNNNNNNNNNNNNNNNNNNNNNNNNNNNNNNNNNNNNNNNNNNNNNNNNNNNNNNNNNNNNNNNNNNNNNNNNNNNNNNNNNNNNNNNNNNNNNNNNNNNNNNNNNNNNNNNNNNNNNNNNNNNNNNNNNNNNNNNNNNNNNNNNNNNNNNNNNNNNNNNNNNNNNNNNNNNNNNNNNNNNNNNNNNNNNNNNNNNNNNNNACCGCGUGCCAUUCACUACUACGAGUGGAAGAGUGUCCGUGGGCAGUUAAGACAACAAGACUAGAGGAGUCCACUACCUACUAGCUCUACAAAGCCAUUGGGUCAAGCAUUCGAAGAGAAUACGAAGGUGAUACGGUCUUUGUUAAUGGAUGGGGAAGUCUUAAGCAUGGGUAUUUAUGGGAUGGGGGGAGUUGGUAAAUCCACAAUACUU